rnacentral:lncRNA from 1 species
UAUUGGAGGUUAAGUUGUCUUGGAUUUGCCAUCAGGGCAUAGGAAAGAAGGUGAGGAAAAAGUUGCGGCGUCUUCUCUGGUGUGCUACGAUUUACUUCAUUUGGCAUGAGCGUAAUCAUCGUCUUCAUGGAGGUCAAGUUCGUGAGGCUAUGAUUAUUUUCCAGCUCAUUCGAUUGUGCAUUCGGGCUCGUGCUGCUUCUUGAUCGGAAGAUGUUCAUGGUUUUAUUUAGUGUGCUUUUAUUUUCUGCUUGUCCCCGAGCUGUGGGGUUUUAUUUGUCAUUGUUAUUUCUUUGGUUUAGCUUAUUUUUCUUCUCUUAUUCCGUUUGAUCUGGAUAGUGUCGUUUUCUAGACUUCUAAUUUUUAUUUUGUCUGCGAUGAUAUUUCAUAUUCUUAAUUGGUUUUUUGUUUUUGUGCUUGUCCCCGGGCCGUGGGAUUUUAUCGUUAUCUUUAGGAUGUCGUUUGGUUUUUACUUAUCUUCUCAGUGUGAGCAUUUUCCGCUUUUGUGCCUUGACCUCAGACUAUGAGGUCCUCCUUGUGGUUCUAUAAUAUUAUCAUUACCUUUUCAAAAAAAAAAAAAAAAAAAAACUAACGAAAAGAACCAAGCAAUUGAAAUAGAAAAGUAGGAAAUGAAAUAUUGCAAGCAUAUAAAGCACAUAUCAAUAACAGAAUACCGAACGAGCGACUGUCGAUCAGGUUGAAUUUGUGUGUCAUGUAACUCAUUCGACUAAAGGUCAUUCUUCAACACCUUCCUUUUUCGAUCAUGUUUUGGACUUGUAUUAUACAUCUUGAGUUGCCACACCAUGGCGACACUACGCCCAUUCUUACUUUUCUCAUUGUUUCGGUUGACAUCCAAAUAAUGUUUUAGUUUUCAGACACAUUUACCUUCUUUUUCUUUUUCUUCGCCAUCUUCAAUUUAAAUUAAUGUUAGCUCAUUUAAAUGAAAUAAACUCAAAAAGAAAAAAAAUCAACAAGAAUAAAGAUGAAUUUGGACGAGUGGACAAGUAACUUUAGCUUUAAGCAUCAAAAUACCAACCUCUUUUCAGAAAGUAAAUAUGUGCUUUUUUCUUUCUUUUUAUUCAUUGUUUUUCUACAUUUUGAUAGAAUAAUCGAACAUUUGUUAGAGAAGAAAUCAAGAAAUAAGACGUUACGUUUCUUCUCUUUCUAAUGCGUACGUGAAGUGAACAAACCAACCAAAACAAAAUAAAACAAUCGACACCUGAUUUGGAAAUUAAGCGAGACUACCACAGCUAAAAAGGGUUAUGAGUCAACAACGAAGGAAAGUGUGGAACUUCGAGUAGACUACAAGUCAUAAUCUAUCUGGGGUUUCGAAAAGGGGUUUUAGAAGAAGAUGAUUGAAUAUUUGCGAGGAACAAGGGUCGUUUCAAUUUGGACGAAGAAAUUCUAAGGUUGGGAGAAAAAAGAUUUUUGCAUCGAAGAUAGUGUCAAAUUUGGAGUUUAAAUAGAAAGUAAUAACAAGUUAGGGUGAACUUCACGUGCGUCCUCUGCCACCGGUGAAACGAACUCGCCAGUACUACUGGCGUUUGUCUCUCUAAAUAACUCGACACAGUUCACUAGGCUAUUGCGUGUUAUUGUGAGCUCAACUUGUCGUUGAAGGAACGACUUAGAAUCGAUCUUGUGGUUGUAAAGCCGUUUCGCUCUAGCAGCCUUAAAAGCACUUGAUUGCUCCUUCAAUCAGACAAAGUGUAAUUAAAAUGUUAUAUCCAAACAAAAAUUAAAUGAAUUACCGUUAAUUGAUUUUUAAGGUAGAUGUGAUAUAAAUCACCUGAAACUGUCGAGUCAUAUAGUGGUCACAAAGAAAGUGCUAAUUUGGCACUCGAUUGACCAAUAUGGGCGGUGGGUCUAUAAAAUUCAUUUUCUAAAAAACAUACAUUACACAUAGAUUAUAUAAUAUCAAGAUACAAUCUCAAAUUUACACAUCCAAUCUCAAACUUACAUAUAAAAAUUCAUACAUUUUUAUAUAAAAACAUACAUAAUAUAUUACACAUGCAUACAUCUAUUGCAUGGAUUACACGUACAAAAUUACAUAAUAGAUUACAAAAAAUACAAUGAAAUUCAAACUACACAUGCAUACAUUUCAAACUAUACAUAUUAAAACAUACAUAAUAUAUUGCACAUUCUUACAUUUCAAACUAUAUAAGUUUCAAAACAAAAAAAUAGACAAAAUUUUAUACCAAGCAAAUCAACAAUGGAGGACGAGGGUGGAGCAUGGAGCGGUGGGUGAUGGACGAGCGACGGCGAACAAUAGCGACGGACGAGCGGUGACUCUUCUUCUUCUCCCCUCUCUUUCUCUUCUUCUUUUCUUUUCUCUUUCGCAGUCUCUGUGUUAUGUGUUUACAUAACAAAUAGGGAAAGGAAAGACCGACACAACAUGAAAACGUCGACAUUUCCAGUCUUUCUCUGACAUUUCACUAAUGGUCGUAGUAAUUAAUGUGUAGACCUUUGUCGUCGUGGUCAAUGCUGACAUGGGCAAAGGUUUAAUUAUAAAAUUCAAUUUUAACAUUUGCCAACGUACGGAUAAAUCCUCCAGACUCCGGACGGAUUCAAACCUUUGCCGACGUGGUGUGUAAGAACGUCGGCAAAAGUCCAACCAUAAAACUUACUUUAUAACUUUCUCCGAUGUCCUCUGUGUCUGCGUCGAGGAGAGUGAAAUAAAAAAUUCAAUUUUUAUUUAUCCCUAACGUGGUUUACGUUUGCGUUGGCCUUGUCACCUUAUUCCAACGUGUAUUUCACGACGUUGACGUUUCCUCUCAUUGUCGGCAUUGUUUACGACAUCAAAAUAAUCCAUUUUAUUGUAGUGAUUUCUUAGUUUUCUAUGGAUCAAUUAUUUUUUCAUAAAUAAUCUUUUUUUUGGUUUCUAUGGUAAAAAUGAUGGGUUGGAAGGCAUGAAUUGUCACAUUUAUAUUUAUUUUAUCAUUAACAUUUAAGUUUAAUCACUAACCACAUCACAACAUAAAAAUAAAUAUAAAUGUGAUAAAUUCAUAAUUCUUCCUAAACAAGAUUAAAAAACAAUUUAGUUACGACUUAUAUUUAUUACUAUUAAUCUAUCCAUGAAAUUGGAUUACCAUGACACCAAUUUUGCUAAUUUCAAUGCUUUAGGAUUUAAUGAUGGUGCAAGUUGGGCAUUUGACUCAUUAUUUGUCCCAAAAGUUUCUUGCAAGGCUUUAACCCUUAAACCCACAAUUUCUCCCUCGCGACACCUACUCCACGCUGCGACCUCUUGAACGCGACUCCUUCUGCACGCCAGUGACCAGCUCGCAACAAACAGACAGCGGCGCACCAUCGGAGCGGGUUCUGUUCUGUAAAAAGUCCUCUUCUCUCCCGUUACCAGCUACUGCAGACCUCCCCGCCGCACGCUUCCCUCUCAGCUGCCACAGUCUCUGCCACCCACGAACUCACCGCCGCUCCCUCCAUCAGGCACUUAUUUCGGUCGUGUUGUUAGCUUACUCCGAAACAGAAACUGUGGUUCAGCUCCUAACGCCCGGCGUUCGUGGUCGCGCCGCUGCUCAUUCUUAGAAGAAAAUCACAUAACCAAUUCGUUUGAACUGAUUUUAUAUCCUCCCAAAUUUAAGGGUUCGAAACAGGGGAUAGUCUGUCCAUGGCCGCAGAAUCAACGCAGUCUACGUCUUCUCAAAAGAGAAGGCUAAAGAGGAAGAAAACCCAGAAAGACCCAGAAUUCGAACGUCUCGAUUCACUCCCGUGGAACUCAUCAAUCCCUAUCGACGACACUUUAUCUGCAUUUAUUGGUUCCAAUGAUCUCGAAGGAGGUUUGUACUUGUUUGUUCGUUCUUCUGUAUGCUUUGCUUUAGAGGUUUUCGUUAUAUUUGUGUGCAUUCUAAACCAAUACUGUUGUGUCUGUGACCAUUACUUUCUGCAGUCUUCAAAUGUAUGUAUCUACAUCGUUUGUUUAUUGUUACAUGACCUGAACAGGUUUCUUCAUCUUGUCAAGUUAUUAUUCAGUUUAUAGUUUUAUGCAUUUUUUUUUAUCGGCAGUGCUGAAAAAUAAUUGGGAUGGGCAUUGAAUAUAUAUAUAUUUUUAUUGGCUUGACACAUAUUAUUGAUGCUGAACGAGAAUUUAUGUUUGUGGGGUUUUGGGGUUUUACUGUUCAAUCAAAUCCUUUAGUAAUCAGUACAAAUAUUGCAAUAUACUAUAGGAUUUCUUUCCCUUGAGGAGAUUGACGAAGCUGAGUAUGGCAUGGUGAUUCCUGAACCUGACACAAGGAAACACAAAUUGAUACCAAAAGCCAGUGGAAAUACAAGGAAAGAGGAGCAAAACAAUGCUGAUUACUGUGAGGAUGCAUCAAGAGGUAGCAAUGAUAGUAUUGAUAAGGAAGCCGCGGGGCACAAUGUUAAUACGAAAACUAGCAAAAAAGGGAAAAAGGAGAAGAAGAAAAAGAAGAAAAAAAAGGUCAUUCAUGAAGUCCCAACGGCAGAGAAAGAUGUGGCUAUAGAUAUUGGUGGCAAUGAUAAUGAUGGGAUUGAGACAGAGAUUGGAGAUGAAAUGGACGAUGAUGAUCAUUUGGAGACGGAGAAGAAGCAACAAAAGAAAGAAAAAGAAACAAAGGACCAUGGAAUUGGUUGGUAUUAUUAUCAUAUAUAAUUUUGUGGAGCAUCAUAUUCUUUGUUUUUUGUACAGCAUUUGAUCAUUAAAUAUUGUUAUUAUUAUUUAUUCAUUGAAAUUUGUUAUGUAUUAUUCAGGGAGAAAAUAUAUUUAUUUGAUAUUUGUGAUUUUGAGGUUAUAAUUUGAUCAUUUGACCUCUUUUUGGAAGAGUGACUUCAAUGAGAACAUUUUUUCUUUUGGAGGUGGGAACUACUAAUGAGGUUUCAUUGUUGGAAGAAAUGUACAAAAACGAUAGUGAACUACCAAACUACCAUAGGUAGAUUACAAAAAGACCUAAACAAAAACCAAGUGACUAAGGUAGAAAGUCUCUAAAGGAGGGGUGUACUUACAUCAGUAGAUAGACAAAGCCCAAAUUCCACAACCUUUCAAGAAAAGGUAAGCUUAUCAAUGUUGAAAAUCCAGUUGUUCCUUUAUCCCCAAAGGUUCCAAAGAAAAAUUCUAUUCUUAUAAAGCCAUAUAGUAACUUUUGUUUAUUAGAAAGGAUGUGCCAUAGAAUUAGUGCUAGAAAGUUCAUGAUAUUGUUAGCCAAUGGUAUUUAGCAUUUCAUUCCAGUAUGCCACAAAUAGACAGUGAUAACAAAGGUGGCAUUGAGUUUCUGAAUUAUCCCUCGCAUUAUUCACGAGCUUGGAGAUUAGGCUGUGUACGACAUUCAUUUUUGCAUUUCAUCAAGAGUACUAACAUGGCUAAGUUCCCAAGUUAAUGCUUUGAUUUUUGGAGUAUAAUCCCUUCCAUAUUGCCGCACAUCCUUAGAAAAGAUGGGGAAUUUAAUAGGGUGGAUGAUUUGGAGGUAGACUUGUUUUCUCCCAAGUUUGGGGAAGUUAGCAAUGAGGUUAAGUUGGCAGUUUGCAAGUUUGUUGUCGACGUAGUCAAUAAAUUAAGGUUUAUAGGAGGUUCGUCAAGUAUGUUUAAGCCUCGUGACACUGGAGGGGGAGUGGGUUUGUCGGCUUGAAUAGGGUGUAAGAGAAUGGGUGUGGUAUGUCUAUGGACUAAAUACAUAAUUGUCUCUAUUAGAGCCUAGAUGAAGAUGGUGAUGAUUGGGUUGGUUAGAUGAGGAGCUAUUGAAGCCCAAGUUUAAGGAGAAUUGCCCCAAUGUUUCAUCGAUUUGGCAAGGAGUUUAAACUAGUGUUAGGGUUUUGAGGGAGCAGUUUUCUAAAAAGCCUAUGGAGCGUGUGCCUAGGCUCAAGGCCUAGGUUUGGCACCUAGCCUUUAACAAAAUAAGGCAUGCCUUUUGUGAAGCUCCUUGCACUUUGGGGAUUUUUCAUUUUUUUUUUAAAACAUAAUAUUUUGGAGGUUUAACUAAAAAAAUCAAAUUUACAAAGUCUUAAUGCAAAAUUACUAACCAUCAUGGAUUGGCCUAGUGGUAAAAAAUCUAUCCCUUGGUAAUCGUCAAUCCCUUAAAACCACCACAUAUAUUCCAUUCUUGGUUAAACCCCUGAACUCCCAUGGCUACAUCAUUUAGUUCCCUUCUAGCUUAUAACUAUGAGAUUCCAUGCAUCUUGCUAUUUGAUCCCACUUUUCACUUACCAACCCAUACUUUAACUUUGAAGAUGAAUGGGAUUCUUGUCAAUAUUGGUUCCUCUCUUAACAAUUCUAUUAGGAUUCUUUUCUUGAAAAUCAGUAAAUCCCUACAAUAAAUGGAGGAACGUGGACAAUACUCUGAGAUAAUAUAUUGAAUGUAAAUCAACAAGAAUUCACAAGGAAAUUAACAAUACAAGAUAUUGCAAGAUAAAACAGAAAAGGAAACAAUAACAAGCUAACAAAGGAAACACAUGUUACUCCAACUCCUUUGAGAAGGCUGGCCUUUUCUUCCAAAAGCUUUUAGCAGCUUUUCACGCAAUUAUGACCUUUUUCGGCAAUCCCCAAACCAUCCUCUUAUAUCCCCUCCCAGGUGGGUCCCUUAACUGGUUCUUACCUCUCCACUAACCGCCCCAAAAGUUGUCUUUUGUGUAAUACCCAUAUUACCUCUACCAACCUUGCUCUUACGCUUAUACGUGUGAAUGAUUGGAGGUCUAACAUUACCGCUCGACUCGAAAUGCACCUUGUCUCUUGUUGGAAUGUAGGAAACUGUUUAUUCAUCAGAUAAACUGAUUCCCUUGUAGCUUCACUGUUGGAUAGUCCCUUCCAAUUUACCAACCAUUCAUUUGCCUCUAAUUCACUAUUCCACCAUACCCGUAACAUAGUUUCAAGCAACAGUUGCAGUUUGAAUUCCUCCAUCAAUGCUAGUGGUAUGUGCUGCACUUGUUGAGUUUGUCCUAACUUAAGUUUUAUUUGAGAUAUAUGGAAAACAUUAUGAAUAACUACCUCAGGAGGUAAAUCCAACCGAUAAGCCACUUCCCCAAUGGUGUAGAUCACCUUGUAAGGUCCCUAAAAUUAAGGGGCCAACUUCUCACUUUGUUUCUGUGCUAAUGAUCUUUGGCAGUAGGGUUCUAGUUUGAAGUAGACUUCAUCCCCAACAUUAAAUUUCAACUCUCUUCGGUGUAAGUCAAUCUGCUUCUUCAUUCUAUCUUGUGCUAGCACCAAAUUUUCUUUCAAGGCAUUGAUAACCGAGUCUCUAUCUUCCAACAACUGUUUCACAUUGCUAUUCAUAGGUUCCCUAUCUCCAUAUGAAAUCAAUGGAGGCGACAAUCUACUAAACACAAUCUGCAAUGGGGUAGUCUUUGAAGAUGGAUGAAAUGUUGUGUUGUACUGGAGUUUCGCCCAAGGUAUACAUUUAUUCCAUUUGGUUGGCUGUUCAUUGCAAACACAUCGGAGAUACGUUUCUAGACAUUGAUUGUCCCUCUCGGCUUGGCCAUCGCUGUGCGGAUGGAAGGCAAUGCUCUUUUUGAGGAUUGUUCCCAUGGUCGAAAACAAUUCCUUCCAAAAAUUACUCAGGAAUAUCUUGUCAUGAUCUGCUAUUGGUAAUUUUGGAAUUCCAUGUUUGCUCACUACUCUCUCAAUAAAGAUCUUUGCUACUUGCUUGGCUGUGAAUGGAUGUCUGAGAGUGAUGAAAUGCGCAAACUUGCGAAGUUUUUCCACAAUAGCAAUGAUAGAAUUAAACACACCCGCUUUUGGCAAACCUUUUAUAAAAUCCAUUGUCCAAUCUUCAAGGAUUAAGUUUAGAAGUGGCAGCGGCUAUAAGAGGUCGAUUGGUGACAGUGAGUUUGUUUUAUUCCUCUGACAAAUCUCACAUUGCUCCACAUACUUCUUUACGCCAUUUUUCAUACCUAUCAAAUGCAAUUCCCUAUUCAUUCUUUUGUAUGUUCGAAGAAAGCUGGAAUGACCUCCCAAUGUGAAACCAUGAAACAUGUGCAACAGGGAUGGUGUUAAAGAUGACGACUUUGAUAAAACUAACCUCCCUUUGUAUAAUAACCGAUUAUUGACCCAUUGAUUGAUUAAGUUUCCCCUUCGGAUUUUCCUUUAAUAUGUUGACUAUUCGUUGCAAUUCCUUUUCCUUCUUGACUUUGUUUAAGACUACCACCAUAUCCACUAUUCAUGGUCGACAAUAUUGAUAUUUCCACCGGAUGAUUCACCCUUGACAGGGCAUCUACGACUUUGUUUUGAAGCCUGAGCUGGUAUAGGAUUUCAAGAUCAUAACCCAACAACUUUGUCAACCAUCUUUGGAAUUGAGGUUGUACUUCCCUUUGCUCAAUGAGGAACUUCAAUGGAUCACUGUAAACUUCCUUCCUAAUAAGUAAUAGCACCAUUUUGGCACUAGUCGUUACCAUGACCAUUAACUCUCUCACAUAUAUUGAUCUUACUUGCACUUGUGGGGAUAAUUUUUUACUAUAUUACGCAAUAGGCUUAGCACUUGCUCUAAUCCAACUCUUGAAGUAUCGAUCUCUAUUAUGGAAGGCAAUGAAAAAUUCAGAAGAGCUAAGACAUGAACAAACAUCAUGACUUGUUUCAGUUGUUUGAAUGCCCUUGGUCGCUUCCUCAUUCCACUUGAACGCAUUUUUCUAUAAGAGUUUGGUAAGUGGUGCUGCAAUAUCCCCAUAUCUCUUUACAAAAUGCGUUUAGUAUCAGUUAAACCCAAACAUCCACGAACUUUGUAACAUCUUUUGGUUGGGGCCAGUUCACCAUUGCUUUAACCUUUUUCCCCUUUGCUUCCACGCCUUUGCUCGAAAUCCAAUGGCCCAAGUAUUGAAUCCUCGAGUGCCCAAUUACACACUUCUUUCUAUUAGUGAACAAUUGGUUGUCCUUAAGAAUGCUGAAAACAACCACACAAUGCUUUUCAUGCUUUGUGAUGUAUGUGUUGUACACCAUGAUUUCAUAAAAAGACAACAAUACAAAGCGUCUCAAGAAUGGUCGAAAAACCUGGUUCAUUAAAGAUCGGAAGGUGGCAUGAGCGUUUGUCAACCAAAUGGCAUAACUAGGAACUUGUAAUGUCCCUCAUGUGUGGGGAAAGCAGUCUUCUCAAUGUCGCCCUUUUCAUUCUGAUGUGAUGAUAACCAGAAUGUAGGUCUAAGUCUAAUUUUGAAACCACAACCACCCCAUGUGUAAUUCAUCAAGUAGUUCUUCGAUCACAUGUAUCAGAAAUUACUGUCACUUGAUUCAAUUUACGGUAAUCAACACAAAACCUCAUACAAUCAACUUCGGGAAGGACUGUUUAGCCGAUUGUUUACUAAUUAGGCUUCCUUCAUACAUUCUUCUGACGUCUUCGGAUGACGGCUCACCAUGUUGAUAGACCACCAAUUAUACACCAGUACAGUUGAAAGAAGAAGAAGCAAGGAAUAACCGCACGUGCCCAAGGAAAAUAGUUUUUAAUAUUGUUAGUAGAUAUUUUCAUAAUAGGGGGAGUAUAAAUAGGAGGUUGUUAAGGAGAGAGAGAGUUAGUUAGAAAGUAUCAUUUGGCUUCAGGCUAUUCCUUGAAAGAUAGGAAAGCAGAAGAGAGUUUUAUAUUUCCGAAUUAAGGAGCUCUCAAUUCGUUUCCCUUGUAUUUUCCUUAUUAUUUCUGCAAUAUUACUAAAGUACUAAAAUAAAUCUUACUUGAUCGAAGAGGAGUUUCAUCAUUUGGUAUCAAAGCACGUCGGUUCUGGGCAGGGGAAGAACAAUGGUUCACACGUGAUCGGAAGAGAGAAUGGAAGCUCACAAUCAGGAAAUGCUGUUGAUAAAAAAAAAAAGUAAAAUUCCGGUGAUCGAAGAAAGUUUAACGACGAUUAGUAUACAAAUGGAAAAGACGCAUCAAAUGUUGAUGAUGCUCAUGGACUAGAUUGCGAAGGAACGAACUACAACCAGUGAGAAAAUGGCCGAAUACAGUGCACAAGAAAUCGGAUUCAAAAAAAAUAAUGAAGGAGAGAGUUCGACAAACAGAAGAGGCGAGAACGAAGUUAAGGAAAAGAAGAAUGAGGAAGGAGCGAAUGAAAGAAACAAAUUCUUGGCUCUUCCGUGCCGAUCGGUAUUUCCAAAUUCACAAACUGAACGAUGCUGAUAAAGUGUUGGUUGCGACCAUCAGUUUUGAAGGCCCAACGCUAAACUGGUACAGGGCACAGGGCACAGGAGGAACGUGAUAAGUUUACGGGAUGGAAAAAUCUAAAAGAGAGAUUGCUUGUGCGAUUUCGAUCGUCAAGAGAAGGAUCCAUCUGCGGGCAAUUUCAAAGAAUUAAGCAACAAACCACGGUGGAGGAAUAUCGUAAUGAGUUCGAUAGAUUAAUGGUACCACUUGCUGAUUUGCAAGAUCGAGUGGUAGAGGAGACAUUUAUGAACGGUUUGUUUCCGUGGAUCAAAGCGGAGGUGGUUUUUUGUAAACCGGUCGGUUUAGCCAAGAUGAUGCACGCGGCUCAACUCGUGGAAAACUGGGAGAUUAUUCGUAGUGAGGUAAAUCUAAAUGGUUAUGCCAAAGGUAAAUAUCCUCCUUCAAACUCUUUAAAUACUAAGAGUAGUGCAGUGGUGAACAACAGUGAUAACAAAGGAAAUACCAUAUUUUCGAUGAGGGCAGUCACCUUAAGAACUACGACUGGAGAAGUUAAGAAAGAAGGACCGAAGAAGAGACUAUCUAAUGUAGAAUUUCAGGCCCGAAAAGAGAAGGGGCUCUGUUUUCGCUGUAAUGAGAAGUAUCAUGAUCAUAGAUGUAAAGGAAGGGAGCAAAGGGAAUUGAGAAUGUAUGUUGUGAAAGAAGACGAAGAAUAUGAAACCGUGGAGGAAGUUGAGGACGAGGAUAAAGAGUUGAACUGCGUUGAGAUAGACCAAGAAGAUCAGGCCAUCGUUGAACUUUCAAUAAACUCAGUGGUGGGAUUGACGAAUCUGGUAACAAUGAAGGUGAGGGGAAGGAUUAAGGAUAGAGAGGUGAUUAUUUUAAUCGACUGUGGAGCGACUCAUAAUUUCAUCUCAGACAAGGUGGUGUAGGAAUUGAGAUUACCCACGAAAGCCACUUCCCAUUAUGGGAUCAUUUUGGGCUCAGGUGCUGCUGUGAAGGGUAAAGGAGUGUGAAGAUAUAGAACUUGAACUGGAGGGAUGGAAGGUGAUAGCGAAAUUCUUACCACUUGAGUUGGGAGGAGUAGAUGGGGUGUUAGGAAUGCAAUGGUUGUAUUCACUGGGAAUGACAGAAGUGGACUGGAAAAUCUUAUCUAUGACGUUUUUUUGUCAGACUAUUGAUUUAGUGGCCUCUCCUAUUUUGUGUUGCCUUAGUUCGAGUUCAUCCACCUCUUUUUGGAAGUAUCCUUUGCUUAAUUGUGGUGUCCUCGUGAUGGUGUUCCCUAGGUUGUUUCAUACGGCUCAUUAUCCUUAUAUUAAGGUGGCUGAUGUAUGGAAUGGUGAUGCAGAAGCUGGGAUUUAUGUCUUCGUCCAAAUCGUAAUGAGCUUGAAAUUUUAGCGUGGGUUCCUCUGUCUCACCUGUUGUUCUCUGUCAGACUUCGUGCUUCUCUUGGUUCAUGGAGGUGGUCUAUCGAUCCAUCCUCAUAUUUUUCUGUGAAAUCUUUUGGAUGACUUGAUGGCCACUGUGGAUCCUCUUGCAAAGGAUCUUUAUUCUGUUAUUUGGACGGAAUUGGGAUCAUUAUCCUAUGAAAAUAAAAAAUUUCUUAUGGGAGUUUAGCUCGAGUGCUAUCAAUACUACUGAUCGUCUAUGUUGCAUACCUUAUCUCUCUCCAUCCUGGUGUGUUAUGGGUUGGAGUCAUUUCGAGUCCUUUGCUUUUUUGUUUAUGCAUUUUUUUGCCUCUUGCUUCUAGCAUAUUAGUUUGGUUGCUUUUGAUUGGUCACUAGCCAACUCUCCAACUCUAAUAGUACUGUUGACAUCUUUGCGUUUCUUUUGGUGGGUCAUUUGUUUAGUACAAAGAAGACUGUUUUCAUAAAAAAAAAGGUACUAAGAAUACUGUUUUGUUGGCCAUAUUACGUGCUUUUUUCUAGACAUUUUAGGGCAAGCCUAAUAAGCAUCUCUUUAGAGAUUUCGCUACUUGUUUAAUAGUUUCAUGGAUUUUGUUCUAUCUACAGAGUUGUAUUGGUGCAAAAUGAAGCCCCUUCGAAUUUUUAUCUUUUUUUUUUAGUUUCCAAUGGGAAAUCCUUUUUGUAAUCACCUAUUGGUGCUUGUGAUCUUCUGUUGUAUCAUUUUUUCAACAAAAUGUUUCUUCUCUUAAAAAAAUCUCCUUCAUUUAGGAUUAAUCCAUACCUGUCUGAGUUGCCUCAAAACUAUGGACAAGCUUCAAAAAAGAUGUCUAUGGAUCAAUCUCCCAAACGUUUCUUGGACGAAUGAGAGAUCUGGGAUGAAAUUUUGGUAUUUGGGGUUUCCUUAAAUGUUUAUUGAUUAAAGAAGUGUUUGAUUUACAACCUUACUUGGAUCUGUCCUUUGAGUUGUACAAUUGUGUCCUUGAGUUCUAAAACAAUAUAGUUUGAUUUGCAUAUAUUGAUAUAUUUAAUAUGAUAUUAUUUGACGAAUUGCACAUGACAUAAUUUUGAUUUGCAUUUAGAUAAAGAAAUCAGGGAUGAAGUUGAAAAGGAUGCAGUUGAUGAAACGGAAUAUUAUGCAUGGAAUGAGUUGAGACUGCAUCCUUUGCUUAUGAAAUCGAUCUACAAACUUGGGUUUAAGGAACCUACAGCAAUCCAGAAAGCGUGUAUUCCAGCUGCUGCUUACCAGGGGAAGGUUGGUUUGUCUGUUUUCUUUGUUACCCUUACGACUUGCUUGACCCUACAACAUUUAGGUGUCAAGGAAACUAGUAAAAAAUUAAUUACUAGAUCUUUGGCCAUCAUGGAUUGAACCUGUGACCUUUUAGUUAGUUAUUGAGACGAUGUCUCUUUUUUUACCAUGCCAACCCAUGAUGGUUGUUAGUUUGUCUUUCUUUUGUUGCAAGGGUGGAAAAAGGAUCAUAUUUUGCCUGCCAUUGAGUUUUGCUUAUGUGACAGGAUGUUGUGGGUGCUGCUGAGACAGGAUCUGGAAAAACACUAGCUUUUGGAUUGCCAAUUCUACAACGAUUCUUGGAUGAACGAGAGAAAUCUGGAAAGAUGUCUGAAGAAAAAGGAGUAGAUGCAAAAAAAUAUGCUCCCAAAAGUCUUCUACGGGCUUUAAUUAUUACUCCUACUAGAGAACUUGCUCUUCAGGUGAUUUCUUUAUGCCCACUCAUGGCUAGAGGCCUAAACAAGUAUGUUUGCAGUGGCUACAGGAGAUAAAACGUGCCAGGAUCAACGAUCUUAGGAUAAGAAAUAUUAGCGUUGGUAGUUAGAUUUUAAGAAAACUUCCUACCUUAAAAUAAUAUUCAAGGUCUCAAAAUGACAUUCUCAUUUCUUGUUUGUUUCUUAUUAAUACUUGCAAUGAUAUUUGGAUUAAUUGGGAUGGGUUCAUAUCCCUUCCUUGGCCUGUUUCGUAUUUGUAUUCUCCUUUCACUUAUGUUUCAUUCCAUUUAUUCAUCACUAAUAACUGAUAAGUUUGUUUCUUAUUAGAAAGAAAAAAACGACCUACUUAAGUUCCUUUUAUGUCAAGAUGUAAUUCUAUUUUAUUCUUGUUUUUUAAGCAUAAAUUUUAAGUCCACAGAUCCAUAAUGACAAAACACAAGCAAAUUAUUAACUGAACUUAUUUUAUUUGGAUUUUUGUAUGUGUUGAAUUUGGGGUUUAACUUCCUCUCCUUGAUCUUUUACUAUCAGGUUACUGAUCAUCUCAAGGCAGUCGCAGUAGGUAUAGAUAUCAGGGUGGUUCCAAUUGUUGGUGGAAUGUCCACUGAAAAGCAGGAAAGGCUUUUAAGGACGAGGCCCGAGGUUGUAGUUGGAACACCAGGACGGUUGUGGGAACUUAUGUCAGGAGGAGAAAAACAUCUUGUAGAGGUGAGCACUUCAUGUAUUGAUUAAACUUGUCCAUGUCUUCAUCCUCCAGUCAUAAAAAUUAAAAAGUCCGAUUUUCGAUUCCUCCUAACCUUUUUUGACUCCAGUCUCCACCAUGUAUUAUCUAAGCUCAUCGAUCAGGAUACUUAUUUUGCAAACACCCUUCAUCAAUACGUGCCUUUACCUCCAUAAUGUUGUGGUUUAUGUUUUCCGUAUUUUGUUUUCCUGUGAAAUUAUCUCAUUUAUUCCCUCUUCUAAUUAGCCUUUAAUAUGAUCAGCAUGGAACUUUUCUUAAGCACUUCUGAGAUGUACCUUGUAAAGUAGGGAGUAGUAGUUGUAAAAGUGCUAAGUUGCCAGAUUUUAUUCUUGGUGAUAUUUAAAUAUCAACUUCAUUCUUUUCCUGUAAUAAAUAGGAUGGUAAUGUUGACGCUCUUCAACUUUUCUGUUUCAGUUGGAGGCAUUGUCUUUCUUUGUGUUGGAUGAGGCUGAUAGGAUGAUAGAAAAUGGACACUUUCGUGAGUUGCAGUCCAUUAUAGAUAUGCUUCCUGUGACCAAUGGUUCUGCAGAAAAUUUACAAAAUGCAGAGAACUCUUUGACCACUCCAAUUUCUCAAAGAAAGAAAAGGCAAACACUUGUGUUUUCUGCUACAUUGUCACUAUCUUCUGAUUUCCGUAAGAAACUAAAGCGUGUAUCAUCCAAACCUAACCAAUCGGGAAUGGAUGGUUUGAAUUCUAUAGAAGCUCUAUCUGAGAGAGCUGGAAUAAGACCUAAUGUUGCUGUUAUAAAUCUGACAAACACAUCAGUUUUGGCAAAUAAUCUUGAAGAAUCAUUUAUAGAGUAUGCACCUUUUCAUCUUAUAUCUAACAUUUUGUAUUUCUUUUGUUUAUUAUUGUUGUUGUUAUUGUUAUUAAACAAUGGGGAGAGAGAAAAAAAAAUUCAAAACAGCAAAUACAUCGAAAAUGUAACUCUUUUGUUAUUUCUAUUGGAUGUUUAAUUUAUAUCAUAUAAUUGCACAAGGAAUAUUCAAUAUGUUUGCCAACUGAGUAUAUGUUUUUGUAUGGACUCUGUAAAUGAUGUAUUGUGAUUGAGGAAGGCCAAUCCCAUUUACAUCUUUUUGUAGUAGGGCAGCUCAAAAUUUUACAUCAUUUCUAAGCUUUUUAACAACAUUGAUUUCCAGUCGAAGUACCUGUACAUGUCCGUACACCUUAUUAGAUUAUGGUCUACAUGACUUGGUUUUUUAUCUUUUAGCUAGUAUUGCAUAAUGUAUGGUACAGCUUUCCUAGUAAUCGACAUCCAUCUCUUAUCUCCUUUUUGUCCACAAGCUACAAUCAGCUGCAUGGGUAGUUGGCGUCCAUGCUUCCUAAUUUUGUUAACAGAUUAUAAUAUGAUUAAUUGGACCUUUUUUGUGCUAACAGAUAUUAUGCGUUUGGUAUGACAUACCAUCAACUAUGCUUGUGCCUGUCUUUUUGUGUUUUCUUUGCAUGAGUAAUCUUUCUCCAGUGUGUUCGAAUCAUUACUAAAUCAUGACCUACUUGCAGAUGCAGGGAAGAAGACAAAGAUGCUUAUUUGUAUUACAUUCUGUCUGUUUAUGGACAAGGCCGCACUAUUGUGUUUUGUACAUCCAUAGCUGCAUUACGGCAUAUUGCUGCUUUAUUAUCCAUUGUUGGCGUUAACGUCUUGACUCUUCAUGCUCAAAGGCAGCAGCGAGCACGCUUGAAGGUUAGCUUACUAUUUAGACAGCUCGUAUCUGUCAUACAGUCCUUUCAUAUGUGGGGGUGCUGAGUUGGGCAAGAACUCAUGCUAUCUUUUCUUUGAAAAGGAUACGAGACUCAUUAUUAUUAAUAUUGAGAAAUAAAGAGAACCCUUAAUGUACAUGAGAGUUAUAUAAAGAGCAAUGGGGGAGGGAGGAUCAGCAGUCGCACUUGGACAUCUCAACUAGGUUGACACCCCCUUAGCGCCCUCAUCACAUCCAAAAAGUGACAAUACAAGAUCAAACAAAAAACCACAAAAACAAAGCCAAACAAAAUGGUAAAAUAAUCUGGCCAAAGCAAAAUCAUAAAUCAUAGGCAGCAAGCCUAGAACAAAGAAGAAUAAGCCUUGAUUGAUUGAUCAAAAAACUGUUUGAAGCAGAGGGCUGAUCCGGAAGUCCUGAUGAUCAAGGACUUAAGGUGGGGAGAUUAUAAAAGCUGGCCAAUUUAACGCAGCAUCCUGCAAAGAGUAAUCCUGAAAAUCUUUGGAUAGAGAACACCAUGAAGAUGCAUUCAAGAGACUAAAAUGAGUUUGUAGCUCUGAUGAAGCACCAUGAAGAUGCUUUUGUUUAUUUCAACCAAUACAUUAUAGUGUGUAGCUCUAAUAGCAUUAGAUCAAAUUACCUUAGUUUUCCUAUUUAAGAAAAAUUGUACUUGUGCAAAAUAAAAGAAGAAAUUUGAUACAACACUGGUGCUUCAUUAGAACUACAAACUCAGAGACUUCCUAUUUUUUUUCACCCCAGGCAAUUGAUCGUUUCCGUGGAAGUCAAAAUGGGAUACUGAUUGCCACUGAUGUUGCGGCUAGAGGCCUCGAUAUUCCCGGUGUUCGAACUGUUGUCCACUAUCAACUACCACAUUCAGCUGAGGUUAGUAAGAUACAGUUUGCCUUGUUUGAACCUUUUCUGUGCAACUGUUACUAAAUGUCUAAUUUGAAAGUAGGUUUAUGUUCAUAGAAGUGGAAGAACAGCCAGAGCUUCUGCCGAUGGUUGCAGUAUCGCGUUGGUCUCAGCCAAUGAAACUUCCAAAUUUGCAUCUCUGUGCAAAUCAUUCUCUAAGGUAGCAAAUCUAUAAUCAUGUAAAAAGCGGUAGCAGAUCUAGAAAGAUUAUUUAUUGUUCCUACCAUGUGGAUUCGCCAUACUAUUGUUUUUGUUUUCUUUUCUCUAUCUGACUUGUGUUUUAAAGAAAUAGUAGCUGCCAAUAUGAGGCUCUUUAACUUGUAUAGUCUUUUUGGAUAUAUCAGCAAUAGCUGCGAUGUCUUUUGAGCAAUCUUCCUUAUACAUGCUUCAUUUGUUUCUGUUCCGAUAGGAAAGCUUCCAGCGAUUUCCUGUUGAUAAUUCAUACAUGCCAGAGGUUCUAAAACGUUUGUCUCUUGCACGCCAGAUUGACAAGAUUGUGCGGAAGGAGUCCCAGGUAAACAUAGGCAUAAUUCCAUGCCUAUAUAUUGCUUACACAUGGAAAUUUGUGUCCUGGAACGGCACUUCCUAGUUCCUUUUUGUGCUCCUGCUAAUUGGUGUAAUUGGCUGUGAUUUGUUUCUGCUUAUUACCAUAGUUCUAAUCCUAGAGUUACACAUGUUCAUUUGGUUUUUUGGUUGUUAUGAGUUUAAAGCUAUGUUGCUGAUUUCUAGGAGAAGGCAAGUAAAACUUGGUUUGAGCGGAAUGCAGAGUUAGUGGAAUUAGUUGUGGACAACGAUGACAGUGAAGAGGAGAGAGCAAACAAUUAUAAGCAGAAGAAAGUUGGCUGCAUCCAGUUAAAGAAACUGCAGCAGGUACUAGCCGCAAUGGCUAAUUUUUGAAAAAAAUUAGGUGAUAUGGUGGCUAUGUUAAAUUCCACUGGUAUUAUCUUCCUUCCUUUUAUAACUUAUUACUAAUUGCAGGAGCUCGACAAGCUGCUUUCCCACCCUCUGCAACCAAAAUCAUUUUCACACCGAUAUUUGGCUGGUGUAAGUACUACUAUUAAUUGUUAGAUGUUCCGUUCAUAAGUUUUCCCCAUUGCUUCUCAUAAAUUUUCUGGAUUAAGGAUUAUCUUUUUGUGAAAUGUUGUAAUAUGAUAAAAUAUUUUGCAUCAAGAGAAAAAGUUCCUCUAUGUAAAGAAAGGAAGUGGGAGAAAGAAAAUAACCGCUGUCUUUGCUAUUCAAACAACAGCUUAUCAUCAAAUAUUUUGAUCAUGAUUUACCCUGCUUUUGUUGGUUUUCUUGAAAUAUCCUUUUCUUUUUACCCGUGCUAAUGUACCUGUUUCCCCAGUCAAUGGGUGCAUGGGUUUGAAUAAUCUCUGGUUUUCAGCUAUUGGUUAUUCAUAGUAAAUUACUAAUUACACAAUGACUGUAUUCCCUCCUUGCUUGUCAGGCUGGGGUUUCACCUCUUCUGCAACAUCAAUUUGAAGAACUGGCCAAGCAGAACACUUCUGUUCAGACUAUGGGAGAUAACAAAAGGAGGAAGUUGGCUGCUUUUGGUCAAGAUCUUACAGAACCACUUCAAGCACUUCGAACUGGUGGUCAACAGGUAUCAAGCACUUUCUACUUUCAUUGAAAAUCAGUUUUCUUGUCUAAAUGGUUUGUAGGGUAAUUGAAUGAUGAAUCAUCCAUUUAGUCAAAAUUUCAACUAUUUAUCUGUAAGACCCCUAGUUAGGAAAGAAUAGGAUUAUUAGUAUGGUUACUAGAAUGGGCAUAUUAGUAGUUUGAUAGUACGUUGGUUAUAAAUAGUAGGAGGGGUGGUGGGGAAAAGUAUGAAGAAUUCUGUAGUGGAAUUUCCUUGAGUGGGAUUUUUUUUUUUUUUUUUUUGAUAAGAAACAAGUGUAUUCAUAUAACAAAAAAGAACAACCUAAGGGCAAGGGACAAGAGGGCCCUUCCCGGAAGAAACUAAGAAACUAAGAAAUGAUAGCCUUUCAAUUGUUGAAAAUCAUUGAAAGGCUAUAAUUACAAAAGUGUUUGGUGUAAUUCGUACUCCACCAAGAAGCUGUGUAUUGCAACACAGUCCAAAAAGAAUCAAAAGAAUUAUAGCUAUCUUCAAAGAUUCUACUAUUCCUUUCUUUUCAAAUACACCACAAAAGGGACCGAGUCGCACAUUUCCAUAAGAUGUUUCUUUUUGGGCUAUAACCUCUAAUGUUGAGUCCUUCAAUCAUUCAGCCAUCAAUCUUACUAGGGAGACAAAGCUCCAAUUCAAAAAUCCUAAACAAAGUGUUCCAAGCUUUUUUAGUAAAGAGACAAGUGUAGAAAUAGAUGGUCCAAAGUUUCCUCUUCUUUGAAGCAGAGACAACACAUCAAGGGACUAAGCAAGGUGUUCUGAACUUUUUUUUUUGUAGCUUCUCAUGAGUGUUAAGGCUUCUGUAAGCGAGCGACCAUAAGAAAAACUUCACCUUCUUUGGAAUUUUAUUCUUCCAAAUAUGACGAAUCAAAGGAACAACAAUGGAGGGGAUCUCUUGGUUAAGUUGAGAAAGGUGGACUUUGUAGUAAAGUUGCCAUUAACGUUAGGAGUUUAUUUAAGACUAUCAUUCCCUUCGGUGGGGGCCCAAGAAUGAAGAAUUUCUAAAACUGAGGCCACAUUGGUAAUCUCGUUAUCGAGCAUAUUUCUUCUAAGGCCCAAAUUCCACGAAUGAGUAGCAGUACACCAACAUUCAGCCGCGUAAAUAUCCUUAUUCAACGACACAGAGAAUAAGUUGGGAAUUUUUUUGCAAGUGGGUUCCGCCAGAGGACCAGCAAGCAAAAACCCAGCCAGACGACCAGCAGAAAACCAAAAACAAUAGUCCAACAGAGAGGAAACCCAACAAGCAAAAAAACAAUAUCUAGAAGAGACCAAUCCAGGAUCCAAUUCAGAACAGCCCAAACAAAACACAGGUGCAGAAGCAGAAAAAAUAUCCAUGCAGAACACAAGCUAGCAACCAACAACCAACCAAAAAUAUAAAGUUGAACAAAUCAAGAAAUCACUACACCCAACCAGCCAUUCUAAAACCAGCACCAACCAACAUUGAGGUGGAGACGGAAAGACGGCGAGACGGAUGAUAGACAUCCGGGAAAACAUCAAAGGUUAGAAAGAUAAGAAGAAUCAUUAUAGAGAGCAUCGUUUGAGGAAAGAAAAAGUGGAGACUCUGUUCAACAGUGGUGGAUGGCUAGAUUCACCAAUGGAAGUUGACAGAUGGGAUUGCCGAGGAAGGAUAAAAUGGAUGGCAAUGAGGAAAAUGGAACUGGAAAACGUAAAGGGCGGUGUACAGAUGGAGAUGGAGACGGUGCUGGCAGCUUAUGGCUCGGAAUGGCAAAGAGGUCAGCAGACGGAGAAAAGACGGUUGAGAUUUGCAAAGGGAGUUGGCAUACAGAGUACGGAGAAGAUGAUUUGCAAAAGAGAAAAAAUUGCGUGAGGAGGGAGAGAUAAGGGCUGCCCACGUGAAAUAGGGGGGUAUUAAUUCAAUUUGGGCUUCGGCCUGAAAUCACUAAAAAGGGUUGAAACCCAUUAUUUUGUGCAGAUGCAAACUGAAGGGGUGGGUUGCAACACGUGAAAAUGGGAAGGAUUGGAAGGAAGAAAAAGGAGGCUGGAGGUGGGAUUAUGGUAUGGAAAAUGUAGCAGCAUGAUUCUGGGCUUGAUUGUGGGCUGGAAUUGUUUAAAGCUCAUUGCUACUUUCAAAGAAGAUAAAGGAGUAUGGGCCCAAAAGAUUGACUUGAUUUUGGAGCAACCAAUGGAUUAUAGGCCUAGCCCAUUUGGGUAGAAUAGCCAAUUUGAAGAACACUUCCAGUGUGGUGGAGAUAGGCUCGUGGAAAUAUUGUGGAGUCCUUGGGUGCUUAUUGGGCUGAAUCCAAGUGAACUGAUUGAAGCUCAAGUGUUCCCAAAGCUGAAGAGGGUGACACUGUGUCAUUGUGUUUUGUAAUCAUACCUUGAGGACAAGGUGUCUUCACGGAGUAUCGUAAGGCCCCUAGUUAUGUUAGAAUAAGAUUAUUAGUAUGGUUAUUAGAAUGGGCAUAUUAGUAAUUUGAUAGUAAGUUGGUUAGGGCUUUUUAGUAAUAAAUAGUAGGAGCGGGGUUGGGGAAAGGUAUGAAGAAUUUUGUACCGGAAUUUUCUUGAGUGGGAAUUCAGGAGAGUCUGGCCAUCUUGAAAGGCUAGGGGUUACUCAUUCUUAUGAUAUUAUAGCUUAUAUUUCAAUAUAUUUUUCAUAUUUGAUUGUUCUUGAGUUGUGUGUUCUUGAGUAUCUCUUGUUAGGUUAGGAUCCUAACAGUAUCCUUCUUUGACAGGUACAUAUGAAUGCAAAAGAGAUGGCUGAAAAACGGAGGAAAAUGGAGAACGUCAAGAAAAAGAAAAAAGAGGAGAAAAAACGUAAGCUACUAAAAUCUUUAUUGAAUGGGACUCUUUUUUCAAAAUUCUUCCUCUCAACUAUCAUAAAAUAUUAAGUAAUGUCAAGAAAUGAGUGGUCAAUUAGAAACCAAAAAUACCAAAACAUUCUAGAUAUCAUAUGCAAGCAGCCUCGUCAAAAAGUACAUUCUUUUAAAAGCAAAACGAGAUGGAAAAUAUAAAGAUAACAGAAACGCUGAGACAUAAAUAAUGUGAUUAUCUUACUAAAACAUAAAAUAUAACCCAUAUUUAUAUUGAAUGGGACUCUUUGGUGGUUUUCGAAUUGUCAUCUUUAUAAUUUCCAGUUCUAAAGAACUGUAGAACGUUGGAAAUCUGCUCUCAGGUUCCUCAUUUCACAAUUAUUUUCUUGCAGGCUUGCGCGAUCAGCGGAGAAAUAAACGGAAACAAAUGAAAGGCAAGAUUUAGAAAAUUGAUCAUUCUGGUAAAUUGCAUUAAAGUUUGUAGAACAAAUGAAUAACCGAUACAGUGCUCUUGUGUUUAAUUUUAGUUUUUAGGUCUGAUUUUUUUUGGGUAAAUUAUGAACAGAAAAGAAUGCUGAUUUUGGUGAUGUAUGGGGGGACAUCAAAAUUUUGAGCAGAGGGUUAGAUUGGCUAUAAUUUUAUGGCAAUUUUGUGUAGAUGGAGAACUGUUGGAAUGUUAAAGGCAUAUUUUUUAGGUGACGUUUGAGGCACAGAUGAUCCUGCCUCAGAUGGGUUUGGUUAUUGCUUCCUUAACAAUUGUUUUCUUAGUAAAUAACACUUUCUCAAUACCAAUGCUAAUAUUGGCAAAUGAAGUCUUCUAAAGCAUCAUAAGGAUGGAGAAUGAAAGUUUUCCCGUGCAUCUGUUUAGGUCAAAUUUGCAUUGUCGGUAGAAAUUGAAAAGUUUGAUUGUGAGUACAUUUUUAGUCGAUAUCCUUUUGUUUUUAUUUUGGGAAAGAUGAUUUCUCCCAUACUUGAAUAAGAAUAUGAGAUUGAUACCCCUUUUAAAAUGGAGUUUUAGAAAAUGCAUGUUUGUCAGUGUCAAAUCUCCUAUAUUAUUUGAUGAAAAAGUGGAAGUUGGGAAUUUUACUCAUUUAUUUAUUUAUAUUUUAAAAUUAUAAUAAUUCUUAAUAAAUAAAUUUCAUUAUGGUAUGAAAUUCACAAAAGAAGGGCAAUAGCAUAAGUCAACAGAGUUACAAGAGACUUAUCGGUAUAAACAAAUUGGCCAAAUGUGGAAUAGAUAGAAAAAAGGAAAAGACAAUCAAUACAAAAAUGAAAUCACGAGACUAUGCAGAAUCUAUCACUUUCUUAUCUUAACCUAUGGUUAUCUUACUAAAAUAUAAAUAUAAAACAAGACACCAUUUGUUUGUGCUGAGGAUAAGGAAUAGAAUGACAAACGGCAAUAACAUAAACUAAUACUAAGUGGGUGUAAAAGUACCAUUAUAUCUGUUUCCAUUGAAGACAUGACUUUUAUGUAUCCUUGAGUUGCCAGACAAAUUGGGACUAGUUUUUAGAUUAGGCAUAUGAAAAGAAUAAAAUUGUUUCUUUGAGUCAAUCCUGAUCAAACUAGAGAUACUGUUAGGACCAAAUCGAGAUUUAGUUCUUUAGUUUUCUCUACUUUUUGUAUGUUCAGCUAAAUGCAUAUGGAUGGUGUCAUAGCUACAGUAAAUUGUAUUAUAUUCACCCUCUCCCAUUGAUCCUUCUUGAUUGGAAGGUUUUUUGUUAGUAGUUUCCUUGGGAGAGGGCUUGCUCUCCCCUGGCCUUUGGGUGGUUACUCGUAUACGCACACACACACAAGGUUUCUCAUUAAAAAAGAGAAAGAAAAAAAAUGGUCUCUCUACUCAUUACAUCGUUAAAAAAAUAAAAAGAAAGAACAUUUGAAAAAUAAUGUCUGAAAUGAACUUUUGGACGAUAAUAAAUCUUUCCCCCUAUUCAUUAGAUUAAAAAAAAUGCCCCCCUAUUUAUUACCCAAAAGCAUACAUCAUAACUAAGCUUAUCGUGUAUUUGCAUAUAAAAGUUCACAAAACAGAGUUUUAAGGUGAGAUCUGGACUACUUUCCAGGAUUUUUACAGUUAAGACUCCACGAAGUUAACAUAAUUAUCUUUUUAAAAAUAUUUAACAAAAGGGUGUGACUAGAUUGUGCACAUUAGCUUUGCCAAAUGCAGAAUUUGGUGUGAGAUUGGUGUGAAAAUCCUCAAAAUUCCACAGCAAUCCAUCCCAUAAUUGAUGGUCUUCCAUCGAAAUUGCCUCGGGCAGAGACAACAAGAGGCUUCCUGGCUGGUCAUGAUCUAUUUGGGGAUUGAAGUUACUGAUUAUGCCAGUACAAGAUUCUUGCCUUAUUUGAGGCUGAGAAUUGUUUAUAGGUUCAGCUUUCAUAGCAGGUUGUCGGUUCAGUUGCUGCUGCUGUCUUAGGAGUUCUCGAUGUUGUUGUUGUCGUAAGAGUUCCCAGUACUGUUGUUGUUGCUGCUGCUGCUGUUGAUGAUAUUGAUGCUUUCUUAGAAACCGAGCAUUAGGCUUUUCAUUGCGGCUGGAAGUUACUUUUGCUUUUUUCUUAAAAUGGGUUCUCCAAUAGUUCUUGAUUUCGUUAUCAGUUCUUCCUGGCAAACUUCUAGCAAUGGUAGACCACCUGUAGUAUUUACAAAUAACAUGUUUAGUUCUUUUUAGCUGUUUCAUAAUUUACAAAAUCUAUAGGUGAUAAAUGUUCAGUGAGGCCUCUUCAUAUCUUCAACAAUCGUACUGUACCCAGAUAUUAUUGUUUUAUUGUUUUUUGUUCUCAGGACCCACCAAAUUUUUGUUGUUAAACUUAGGAAAAAGAAGGGAGGAUUACCUGUUACCCCAUCUCGCAUGAAGCUCUAGAAUUAUGCUCUCUUCAUGUGGGGUUAUCUGCCCUCUCUUUAGGUCUGGCCUCAGGUAGUUUACCCAUCGCAGCCUACAACUCUUCCCAUUCCUUCUCAAUCCUGAAUGCACCAAAAGAACUUAUAAGAGAGGCAUUUUGGAUUACAAGCUUAAGACAAUGAAUGAAAAGAAGACUAAAAAUCAAGGAAAAUGCCAAAGGAAGACGUAGGAAGGGCAGGGGGGAAUGGAUACUCCAGAGUAGAAUGAAAUAAUGUUCCAAAUCAAGGAAAAUUUCCGAAGAAGAAAAUUGUAGUAAGAGAGGAGAACAGAUACUCAAUUUAAAGCGAGUAAACAAAAUUCCCAUACUCGAACAGAGCCAACUUUGGGAGGAAUGUAUGUUAAUGUAUUUGAUAUUUGAUAAGUCGGUCCAAUUUUCCGGUACUGAAAGUCUAAGACAAAGGGGUUGUUUUACCUGCAAGGUGAGCCACAGAAUUCCACCUUCCUUCACCAUGAACUCUCACAUAUUCCAUAAGCAGCCUAUCUUCUUCAGCAGUCCAAGGCCCUUUUCUCCAUCCUUCUGCUGCUACUUUGCCCCAACCAAAAUGCUCAUCCAUCAUCAUCAUCAUCAUCCAGCUCUGCCUUUCAAAUUUAUGCUUCUGAAUAUUAUGCAAAGAAUCUUUGAUGUUCUCUCUCUCUUACAGAUUUCUAUGGCAUAUUGGGUUAAUGUUUGUUCCAUAUUUAUAUAGUCACUCAUCAUUUGAGAGUUUUUCUGAUCCUUUUUACUGUUCAAGUUAUUGUGAUCAUCAUCAUCUUUGAAACAAGAUUAUAAAAUGGCAUGUAUGUCCUCACCAAUAUUUUAUUAUGUAUUGCUCUUUUCCCUUUUUUUGGAACUCCUUUUUGGGACUGUCUAAUCUUAUUCUUCAUAUUAAAAAAAUGACCCAUUUGAUUAUUUUAACUAGUUUUCCAUCUUGCUUUUAGAAAAAUAUUAUAAAGUGAUGAGCUUGUAGUUGUCUAGAUUAUAUGUAGAUUCUCUCCAAAUUUUAAACUAGAAAUGAGUUCUUUGGCCUUUUAAAUAGACUGAGAUUGCAUAUCUUUAUCAAAUCACAGUAUGAUUUUUCAAGAUGAGAAAAUGGUUCAGUGCAGGUUGUUGUUUCCAGAUCAACCUUUGGCUUGACAUGAUUCUAUAAGAGCGUUUUUCUUUUUAUCAUAUGCAAAUGGGAGAAUUUAACGUACACCAAUCGUAUAACUUAAUGUCAAUUAAAUUAAGAGUUGUUCGAGUGUUACAAAAUAUAAUGCUAUUACUAAUAUAUUUACACGGUGUUUAGCCCAACGACAUCAUAGUUGGUGAUAGAUAAUUUAGCUACUUCAAAUAAUGUUUAUUAUUGAAGUUUGCACGUUUAUCAGAGAAUUUUGUCUCCCUUUUUCUUAUUCUCCCUCAAAUAUUUUCUAAUACUUGAUUAAACAAUUCUACACGUGGAACGUAUACUUUUUACUUCCAAACUUUAGAAGGAACUCAAUUCAAUGUUUAAAACAACUAUAAAACAUUUUGCUACAAAAAUAAUUUUAUUUUAUGAUGCGUUGAAAGUAUUGUUCACAUAUUUACGAUGACAAAGAAAAAUAGUUUAAUUUGGUCAAGACUCAUCACAGCUUUCGUUAGCUUAGAUGCUAACUUAGGUUAUACCAACAUUAUAUGCUUCAAAUUCUAGACAUUUUUCUUUUUAUUAGUAUCUCGUUUUUGUAUUCUACUCUUGUAUUUACGUGACAUAAGCUAUUUCAUGUCAUUUCUCAUUCUUAAACAUCAAGAUAUUUAUUUGUUCCAAAAAAACCACAUCCAAAAUACCAUAUGAAGAAUUGAUGACAGUAAUACACAUGAAGGAGAUGACAAACCUUGGUGAUGCCAAAGUAUUAGGUGACAUGAAAACUCCAAUAAUAAUUCUUAUAGUAAUCAAAAUGAAAAGAAACUAUUUUUAAUAAAAAAGGGGAAAAACAUUCUUAGGGCCACGUAAACCCCUCUCCUUAAUAAAAAUAAAAUUUGAGUAACUAAAAAAGAAUUGUGGGAGUGGAUUAACUUUCUUAUAUGAAAAUUACUGGAUGUCCAAUGGGAUUUUGCCACCUGUUUGCUUAAGAAGAGAUGACAUGUACAAUGCCUAUUAUGUCUUCUUUUAAAUACAAUAUUUUUAUGCCAUUUUGAGACUUUAAAAUGAAGUCAUUUGGACACUUGCCUCUCUCUUAUUUCACUAUGUGACAGAAUGUCUUGCAUGCACUUUUCCCAUUAACAUUAUAUUUAUUUUUCAAAAUAGAAUUAUCACCACUAUUCUAUCAACCUCUAAUACUGUCUAUUAUUAUCUAUUUGUGAUGGUCACUUUAAACACUAAUGUUUUGUUAUAUUUAUAAAAGCAUAUAAACAACUUCGUUAUUCUUUUAUUUCAUAAAAUUAUAUCGACAAGGAUAAUCAAAAGUGAGAAUACUCGCAUUCACUCUACAUAACUCUACUUCAUUUGUUAAUUAUUAGACUAGGUUUCUAGAGAUUCUAGUGUACCAUACGUCUCAAAAUAUCUCACACCAAAAUCAAAAUCCUAAUCUUCAAGGGGUCUCUUAGCUUUGAAUAAAAAAAAAAAGGGUUAUUUCUUCACUAAAAAAAGUAAUGGAAAGAAAUAAAUAAAAUAGUAUUCCAAGUGAUUUCACCUUUGGAGUUUGCUUAAAAAUCGUCUUCUAGCAAACGUGUUAUGCACAAAAUCAUUACUAUAUGGAAUUUCACCAACCAUAUCUAUUUUAAUAUUUAUAUGCCCUAGAUUUCCUCCAUUAACAUAAAUGUUUGAUUAAUUAAAUUAGACACUAUAUUUAAGAAAACCUUGUUUGAUUAUGUUAUGAUCUGCAAACACUUUAUGAACACCAAUACUCAAAAAGGGUAUAUGGAGAAACUAAAAACAAAAAUAAUUACAUAUUUUGUUUUGGAUUUUAAAGGUUGCUAUACUAAGUCAACAAAAGAAAAUAUAAAUAUGAGAUCACGUGUGUUAAAUAAAAUUUUCUAAAGAUUAAAAUGAUGGUAGUCAAAUAAUCAUAACUCAAAUGGUAUUAAUUAAAGAUGGAAAUAUCACAAUAUAUCGGUCCUAUGUUGUAUUUAAUCUUCAUUUUGUAUGAUAUAAACUUUAUUUAUGAAAGAUUUAGUCCACAAUCAUUUUUAUUGUCUUCACGAGAUCAUAUUUGAAUUUUAAUUAUUAAUUUAUAUCUUCACUUUAUUAUUUAAACAAAUUUGUUCUAAAAUUUCACUAUAUUUUUAUAAAUUUCCAUGAUAUUCAUGAUUUUUCUUGAAAAAUCCAUCGAUGUAUUGAUAGCGUUGAGUUAUCAAUAUUUACACCAAUAACGAAAUUUCAACUCUUGGUAUUAAUAAAGCAUGUAUGGUCAAUUUAUCUACUAAGCUACCAUUGUUUUGAAAGAACUAGUAUUUACUAAGUUAGUUUUCAAAUAUUCUUUUGCAAAUUGCAAUAACUGACGAACAAAAAUUUAGAAAAAAAAGUAAUUCAUAGCAUUUUUUUUUUUUUUAUAUAUAUUGCAAACAUGAUAAAUAAUUAGAUAUAUCAAAUGGUUGUCUUAAGAGAACUAUCCACUUUUAAAUUUUAUACUUUUGCAAAUUAGAAAAUGUAGUGACAUGUACGUUAUUAUUAUAAAUUUUUUGCUACUUUUGCAAACACCGUUCUUUUUCGUUUCUAAAAUACAAUUGAGAUACGUAGUUUGAACCAUAAACAUUAUGAUUACUAGCACAUUCCAACUGUGUUAUGGUCGUUUUGGUAAGUUGUUCAAGUUUAGUUGUUAUAUGUUUUUUUAAAGCACAACUAGGACUUGGAGGAUUCAAACCACAUACUUUAUACCACAAAGACACUUGUAUGUCAACUGAGCUUUGUUUUGGAAAGUUAUUAUUUGUUAGAGAAAUUGAGAAUACCCUACUCAUUCCUUGUAGGGAGAACGACGUGAUAUAUGCUUUCAAUAUCAAAGUACCCGAUAAAUUAUGUUCAUAUGUGUGUGUAUAUAUAUAUAUAUGUUUGAGUAACUGAUUGUGAUUGUGAUUGUGAGGGUAGAGAUAAACCCUUUAACAUAGCAAUUAAUUGAAAAUUAAACUACAAAACAACUUUUGUGUUGACAGCUAUGUUCAUAUGUUUUUAAGUAUAUUUGUAAUUUAGCAAACUCAUCCAAAGAUAUGGAAUAUAAUAAACACAUAGUUGAACAAAUUGACCAUUUCAUCAUCUCUUUUUAGAAAAUUACAAAAUAUAAAUUUAUAAAUAUUAUAUUUGCAUAGAAGGAUUAUUAUGAUUGAUCAUACUUUUAGUACGGACAAGGGAAGAACAAAGGGAUCUGCUCUAAUAAAAGAAUAUAAAAGAACUUAGCAUAAAACUUGAAGUUGAUUAACAGCUAAGCAUUGGCUUUAUGCAUAAUUAAUUAAAAAGAAGAUGUCCUACAAUUCUUUUCACCAUAUUUUAUUAACAUAUAAUAAUUAACUUUUGUAUUAAUUAAAUUGUGUACUCCUUCUAGAUCAAUUCUGAUUAGGAUUGAAAUUAUGAGAUAUUGUGGGUUUAAAUCAACCUUAAAUUUUAGUAUAUAAAAUAACAAUCAUAAAAAGAUUCUCUUUUGAUUUUGUUGCUUUGAUCUCCUUCAAAUGGAUAUGGUGUUCAUUUGGAUUUAACUUAAUGAGUUUCUAUCAACAAUCAUAUACUACAAAGAUUUAAUUCUUCAAUUUUAAAGUAAUUUUAGUUUCAGUUUAGUUUAUUAUUAUUAGUUAGGUAGAAUCUGACUAAUCAUAUAUAUAUAUUUUGUUGUUUAUAUAUAUUCAUUAUGUGACCCUGAUGAGUUAGUGUAUUUUCUAUUUGAUUCUCUUUGUUAUAGUAUUUUCAGAAGAAGUAAAUUAAAAGAAAAAAUAAGAAAGUGGAGAAAAAUUUAAACCAAACUAAAAUUAAAUCCAAACGUGUAAAUACUUAUCAGACUAAAUUAAAGCUUUUAAAACUAUUAAAUUCAAAUUAAGACGAUGAAAGCUUUGUAAACACUCAUGACAAUCCAUUUAUGGAUAAGAAACAAUAACUUAUUCAUUACAAAGACAAAGAAAAAAUCAAUGUGAUAUGAAAUAACAUAUUUUUUAAAAAAAAAGAAUUGAACGUUUAAAAAUGUGCUCCAAAUACACAUAUAAUAUUUGCUAGGAUUUUUAGGAUGAAUUAAUUUUUAUUUUAUUCCAAAUUAAAUGAAAUGAAAAUAGCUAAAAAUCACUAAUUAGAAAUAUCCUACUUUAAUAUACUUAUACAAAUUUUGAUAUUUACAGUUUUAAAAUUUUAAUUGAUAUAACCCUACAAACUUCAAAGUGUAAAUUGAUUUCAUUUGAGCUUCAAUCCACAAGAAGAUUAAUACACACACUUGUUUGAUAUUGAAAUAAGGCAUAUAUAUAUAUAUAUGUUACAAUCAAAGCACUUUUGAUUAAUUAAGGACCAAAUAAUGUGUAUAAAUAUAAUUAAUAUUUAAAGUUAGGCUUAUAACAUAAAUCACAUGGGGUGGCCCAAUUGGAGAUUAUUGGAAGACUUUUCUAAUGGAGUUGACCAUUGCUUUCAAGGAGGGUUAAAAGUUAUGAAAAAUAUCAUCAUAAAACAUUGCAUCUAGUUAUCUUUCAUAUAUAUAUUAAACUAAGAUGAUUUGUUGUAAAAGAAAAAAAAAUACCCUAAAGAUGAUUUCUCUCUAUGUCCUUUUAGGGCAAGCACCCUUUUGUUUUAGUUAUAAUUAGUAUUUCAUAGGUUGAGCUUGUUUUGUGUCAUUUUUGCAAAAUAAAUUUGGACUCCGAGCCUAACCUUUUAAACUUAUUUUGUUAAAUGUACGAAUUUGAACAACGAAUUUGAACCUUCCACUUCAAAAAUAUUUAUACGUUUUAAUUAAUCACUUGAAUCAUAUACUUGGUUACGUCGGUGUAUAUGAUUAUUUGUCGAUCAUUGUUAAGCUAAAGUCACUUUGCUCACUUGAUUGAACAAUCUUAUAAACUUUUAGCAUUAUUAUAAUUUUGUGUUCGAUUAAAAAUUAAAUGCCUUUUAGGCAAAGGAAAAAGAAGGUUUAUAAACUUCUAGAUUUUUAGUCAAUUUUUAAUAAUCAUUUAGAUUAGGGUUUAUCCUAAUGCUGAAAAACACACGCUUUAGGGGUAGGCAGAGUACAUAUAUGAUAUCAUGAUAUUUCCUUCUCUAUCUAUACAUAAUCAAAUCAUCUUUUUUCCUUAUUAUUUAAUUUUAAUAUCAUGUCAUCACCCACUUGUUAUUCAAAACAUUUUACCCCUAAGUUUUUAUUUUUGGGUUAAAUAUCAUCAUUUUCUACAAUUUGUAGAUCAAUAUUUUCAAAGUUUUAAAUUUGUUUUUUUAAAGCAUUAAUAUAUUAUUAAAAGUGAUUUUUUUUAAUUUAGUAAAACAUUUGAGUUAUACUCACGUUGCAAAAUAAUUAACUUUUCUUUUUUUUUUUUAAUUUUUUUAUCUUGAGAAUAAAUAUUAAAGAAUUUUGCUAAAUUCGAGUAAUUGAAAGUUGUAAUUUUGCUAAAAGAAAGUGAUUUGAUGCAAUUUAAAAAUAAAUUAGCCAAACCACACUUAGGUUUACUCCUUUGACCUCUCCAAGGGACAUUCUUCUAUUUAUUCUUUUAUUUUCUCUUUUUCUCAAUUAACUUAUUCUAUUGAUUUGUACGGAUAAGAUUUUAAAUUAAUUUGGGCGGUUUCCUUUCAAUAUUAAUUUUGAAGAUGGGGUUUCUUAAAAUAUAUAUAUAUAAAAAAAAAAAUUGAGAAACUAUUAGUAUUUAUAUUUAACAAAAUUUGGGUAAAUAUUUUAUCAAACCUUUUAUUUUUGCCAAUUAUUAUAGAAAAAUUUCGUAAGACCUAAUUUAACAAAGAAUUGUUCUAAGUUAAGCAUGCUUAACUUUGUUGUUUCUAUGAUUAAGUUACCAAAAAAUCUACACUUUGUUGGUGUAUAGAUAGUAACUUUCAAUUUUUUAAAACAUUUUUUAACCUUACUUUCACAUCCUCACGUUCAUUUCAUUCAAAUAUGAUAUCAAUUUAUUCAUGUCCUACUUCUAAACUUGAACCAUUACAUAAAUCAUUCUCAAUUCUAUAUAUAAUGAAGUUUUAAAAUAAAAAGGUGUUAAAUAAGUGUUUGAAGCUUUAUUUUUGUCUCAAUUUGACAUUUUAUAAAAUUUAUAGGUGUAAUUGACACAAAAUUGAAAGAAUAUGUUCAAAAGAUUAAAAUAUAUGUGUGCAUUAUGGAAAAUUUUAUUUUUGUGUAGUUUACCCAACUAUAUGACAAAUUUUUAAUUCAUUUUUGGAAAGAUCUUUAUUCAUUUUCCUAUAUUUAAAAAUAAUUGUAUGUAUAAUUCUUUUUUGUGUAACGCAUUCACAUCUUGGGAUGCAUCAAAAGAUUACUUAAUAAAAAAAUUUAAAACUUCUUAGUUAUUUCUAAAUAUUAAUACCCAAUUUAAGUGAGUAUAAAACAUCAUCCUAAAAUACUCUUAGAAGUAAAGUUGAACUUUCAUUUCAAAUAUGAAAAUUGUGGUGUGACACUUACGUUACAACUUAGAUGACAUAAGUUAAAGAAUAUCAUAAGAUCAUGCAUAAUGUACUUUUAGUCCCUUAAGUUUUGGUUUGUAUUUGUGGUUUCAAAAAAAAUAUUUUAGUGCUCAAGUUUCUAAAAUGAUUCUUGAUGGUCUUUCAUUCAACUUGGAAUGAUGAGUAUAUAUAUCGUUAUAUUUUGACGGAGAUGGUUUAACAUAUUAUUUAUUUGAUGACGUGGAGAAUAAACUCAAAAUGUAAAGCUUUUGUGAGAUUUGAUAUAUUGAAAUCUUUUCUUCUUCUUCUCCCAUCAUUUCUUUCUGCUGCUCAUUAUUCGACCUGCAACUUUGAGUGUAGUUGCUUGGUUGUCGAAUUGCUACUAGUCAAAGUCACUCUCUCAUCUUCUUCUUAUCACUCUCAAUUUCCUUGACAGUCACUAAUCUUGACACCAAAUUCAAACUAAAUUGAGCAAUCUAACUUUAUUUGAUUAAUUUUCCAUCCAUCGGAGGCUUCUAUAACCUAAUCACCCUCUUUUCUUUCAAAAAUUAAAAUUUCAUACACCACAUAUCCCAAAACUUUCACAUUCCUCACAAAAUAAGAACUUCAAAACCAUUCAUCAAAAUAAAAUAUAUUUACACAUUGGUUAUCAUCAACCUCAAUCCAUAAAUUUUAUAUAGGGGACACCGAACACUAUAUAAUAAACAUACUAAAAAGUGUUUAAAAAAUAUUUCGACGUUUUGCCAAUACUUUAAUAACAUUAACUACAUUUGUUACAAUAAAGAAAAUACCAUCAAUUUUUACAUGAUUUUUUGUUAUGUAAAUGCAAAAUUUAAGAUUUAAACUCUUAACUCGAUGGUUAUGGUGUAGUUGCACUACACCUAAACUACACCUAAACCAAACUUUGUUUAAAAUAAAAUAUUAUUUAAUAAUAUUAUAAUCGGGCUCUUCAAAAUUAAUAUUAAAAUAAGAAAUAUGAUAGUGUGAGGGUACGUGUUCCGUUGACCUCUUAAUAAAUCCACUCCUUGCUGUCAUAUUAAAUAUUGGAUUAAUUGUACAAAAAACAAAUUUAGUCUAGCAUGGAUUGAUACAACCUACCAUUUUAAAAGUGAAAGUUCAAAUUGUCCGUAGUCCGAAAAAGAAUAUCGAGUUAAUUUUUGUAGAACAAUUUAAAAGUUGAGAAAGAGGAUGUAAGUUUCUUAAUUUAAGAAAUAGAAGUGAAAGAUCCAUGAAAGCUUUGUAAAGUCUAACAUUUGACUGUUUAGUCUAAUUAAUAAAAUAGAUAUUUGAAAAUAUAUAUAUAUAUAUAUAUAUAUAUAUAUAUAUAUAUAUAUAUAUAUAUAUAUAUAUAUAUAUAUAUAUAUAUAUAUGACUUUUAUGUGAUCGUCGAGAAAAGUGGACACGUGUUUUAGGUGAGUCAGCGGUCAACCAGUCUAGGUUGAUUAUCAACACGGAAUUUUAGUCCAAAGAUAGAGUAAUUUUAGAAUCUUAGGUUAAGAAAAUUCGUACGCACACAACUUAUUCACUUUAUUUUAUACACUUUAUUUAUUUAUUUAUUUAUAUAUUUUUUUUUUGUAACAUCAAAAAGUUAAAAUUUUAAUUAAUUUUCUUAGACGUAAAAAAUCCAAAACACUUUACCAUUUGUGUAACAAAACAAAAAAAGAAAAAGAAAAAACCCAUGAAAGUAUUCUUGUAAAUUUUGAUAUGUACCCUUCAAUAUUGGGACACGAUUCAACAUUUCUAUUUCUUUUUCUUCUUGUUGCGAUUUCUUCAUCAUCUCUUCAAAAUGUUCUUUCUUCUAUUUAAAUUUUAUAUUUCAACUUUAUCACUUUUCACAAGAUGCUUUGAAGCUAUUUCACGAUUAUUUCAAUACUCUUCUUCAUAUUCGAGAAUAUCAAGAUUAUUUAAACAUCAUUUUAAAUUAUCAAUACGAUUGUUUACCAUGGUCAGUACAAUCAUUAGAUUUGAAGAUUUUUACAAUCACUUACAUUGGAUUACGUGAUCUCUUACUAUAACUAACACGAUCGCUUACCACAAUCAACAUGAUCGUUCACUAUAAUCAAUACGAUCGUUUGCCAUGAUAAACAUGAUCGUUAACUAUGGUCAACACAGUCGUUUAAAAUAUCUUAUUUCAUUACACCAUCAUCUAUCCUUGUAAGGUAUCUUAAAUGAUCGUGUAGUUAUGGUAAACGAUCAUGUAUAUGGAUCUGACGAUCGUUUACCAAUAUCAAAACGAUCUUGGUACAAGAUCGUGUACCAAGAGAUCAUUAAGAUUUUGUAUAAGAUCGUGUACCAAGAUUGUUUAGAUUUAGUACAAGAUCAUAUACUAAGAUCGUUUACCAAGAUCUGGACGUGAAUCGUGUAUCAAUAUUUGAACAAUCAUAUACCAAGCUUUUUGCGCACGUGUGUGACCGAUUAAUUGUGAGGUAUUUUUGUUAUUUCACGUUGUGGGCUGAUUUUUUUCUAUUUUCAAAAUUGUUUUAUACGGUUUGAAUAUUUUGACAUUUUGUUCUAGUUUUUGCAAAACCCCAGUUAUUUAAGGUUUAAGAUUAAAUUAGGAUAAAAUAUUAAUUAAUUUGAAUUUGGAAGUUCAAGGGAGAAGUGAGAUUCGAUCGAAAUUGAGUUGUAUAUAUCUAAUGUAAAAAAAUGUGGAAAAUUGAUGGAAAAAGUAAUGAUAUAUAUACAAGUAAAAAAUUUAUAAUAAUAAGAUAUAUGUCACUACACUUUUUAAAUUGCAAAAGUAACAAAUUUAAAAGUUGAUAACCUGCUGAGAGCCCUCUCAUAACCAUUUGAUAGUUAUCUAAUAGUCGCCUGAUAUCACUAAUUAUCUGUCAUAUUUUUCAUAUUCGCAAUAUGCAAAAUAAAUAUGUCAUGGGUUAUUUUUUUCUAAAUGUUUUUGUCAUCGGUUGCAAUUUUUCUAUAAUUAAUAGUGAAAAAAAUUGUAUUUAAUGAGGAGAGAGAAAGUUAAAUAUAUAAUGUUUAUAUAUUUAUUUAUGUAGAAAAUAAGAACAUUUAACAAAAUAUUUACACUCCAUAAAAAAAUUAAUUAUAAUAGAUUUUAUCUUUUAGUAAUUUUGUUCUACAAAGUGUAAAUAGUUUGUCUUUUUUUUUUUUUGAAAAAUACUCCCUUUUAUUUUGGAAAAGAGAAAUUAUUAUUUGAAAGAUGAUUAUUAGGGUUUUGAGGUAUUAAAUAGCCCUCAUUUUAUGUCUAUGUUAGCUUAAAAAACAAAAAAAAAAAAUUAAUUGGCACUUGCAAAAAUAACAAAAAAAUAUUAUAUGAUAAAUAAGACUCAUGUCAUUACGUUUUCUAAAUUGCAAAACUAACAAAUUUAAAAGUCGAUAGCCCUCUAAUAGGUCUCUGAUAAUCAUUCGAUGGUCAUCUAAUAGUCGUCUGAUAUCACUAAUUACUUGUCAUAUUUUUCAUAUUCGCAAUAUGCAAAAAAGAUGUUUCAUAUGCUGUUUUUGUCUAAAUAUUUUUGUCAUCUAAUGCAAUUUUUCAAAUUAAUUUUGAAAUUUCAAUCUUCUUUUUCCUUCUUUCUUCUUCUCAAGUCUUGCCUCCCUUUGGUAAUUUUAUGUCGACUAAUGCUCCUCUUCACCGGUGUCAUCCGCCAACUUUGCCAUUGACCUGAGUAAGAAUGAAUAUGAAUUGAGAUAGUUUAAAAUGCAUUGACUCAAUGAUUGUUACAGAUUAUGUUUUAUUAUGGAAAAUUCAUGAAGCAUGAUGGUGUUGGGAUUUAUGUCAUAAAACUCGUAGAUUGUAAAUAUAAUAUAUCCGUUAUUAAUAAAAUGUUAUUAUUGUAAUAGUUGUUAUUGAUUAUAUUAUUAGUUUUGUCUUAAAAACUCAAAUACAAUAAACUAACAUUCUAAGCUGUUUAAUGAGUCUUGAAUAGUAUGUAGAGACAUACAUGAAUCAAUAUUCGAGAUCAACUUAAAGGGUCUAUAGUACAGGGAUAAGGUUGGGUACCUUAUCCUAGUAACAUUAUGGAUAGUAGAAUUGAUGAAACUUGCUAAAAUGCGUUGAAAUUACUUCACAUAGCUAUAAUUUGGCUCAAGAGUGUGGUAAAUGUUUGAGCUGAGGAAAAUGUACAAAUAUGUAAUUAAAUAAGUAGAAGGAUUGUGUGAGAUGAUCAUGUGUAUACGAGAUGCAUACAUGCAAUAUGAAUUGCACUAAAAGAAUUGAAAUGCAAUGUAUUCCAUGAGAGUUAUGAUAAAUGAUUUAGAAAGGAAAGCCUUCGUAUGAUUUAUGAUACUGAAUGAUGAAUUGAAAUAAUUUGGAUUUAAAAUCAAUCUCUUGAUGACAGUAAAUGCUAUUUACACUGCUUGAUUUGGGUAAUUUUGACGAGUAAAAGGUGACGGAAACACUAGACAUUUUCAUCUAACAUUUCAGUAUUUUGUUUUAUAAUAAUUUUAGUGUUAUGAUAGUAUGUGUUUGAAGGAAGAGUUAUUAUUGGUAUUGUUAUGAUAAUAUGUAUUUGGGGGAAAUGUUAUGAUUGUAGUAUUAUUAUAACAUGUGUUUGAGGGAAGAGUUGUGAGCGUAGUAUUAUGAUAAUAUAGGUUUGAGGAAAGGAUUAUCUUAAUGGAUUUGUGAUAUUUUUUUGCUAAAAUAAACAAUAUUAAUAUAUGUAUUUAUAGUAAAUCAUAUAAUUUUUUUAAAUAAACAAUAUUAAUAUAUGUAAUUAUAAUAAACCAUAUUAUGAAAUGAACUUGUGAUAUUUUUUUGCUAAAAUAAACAAUAUUAAUAUAUGUAUUUAUAGUAAAUCAUAUAAUUUUUUUAAAUAAACAAUAUUAAUAUAUGUAAUUAUAAUAAACCAUAUUAUGAAAUGAACGCAUAUUAGUGUCAUUAGUAGUAACUAAGUAGAGAUUCAAAUUCGUGUUCGUCCAUUAGAAAUUCUAGAUUGACACCUUGUUAGAAAGGAAAAUACUUAUGAAAGCGUUAAAAACGAAAUUGGUUAACCUAAUCACAUACUUUGAAUUUUGGUUUAUGGGUCUUGAAAAUUUAUUCAAAUCAUAAUUUUCCUAUGUAAAUUUUCCGAAGCCUUCUUGCAAAAAAGAUCGUAAUAAAAAUACAAUAUUGUUAGGUGGGUCAUUUAUGGUUCCCUAUAAUUCCUUAUGAUACGAGAAGUUUGUAAAACUAAUUGUCUAUGUGAGAACUUGUGAAAGUAUUUUCUUAUACGUCAUACUAUUGAACUUGUUACACAUUUCUAUAACCUAUAUCACACUAAUGUAUGUGUAAUAUAAUUUUUUUUCUUAUAAAGUUUUUGUAUUGCACCAACCUAUUGUAUGUUUAAGUCUCUUAAACCUAUAUUGACGUUUUAUAUUUUUAUUGAUUAAAAACCCUUACUUUUUUUUUUUAAAAAAUUAUGAUUGUACAUUAAAUUCGUGACGAAAUCGAAAAAUUGUUCGGAUUUUUCAAAUAUGACAUUUACAAAAAAUUGAAGAGUUGAGUUUAGAGACAAUAUAUGGUAUGAAAACAUUGCUAUUUUGUGAAAUACAUUUUUAGAAUUUUUCGCACAAGUAAAGUUGCUUAUGAAAUUGAAAUACGAAAAUAAUAAAAUUGGCAAUUUGUAUCUAGUAGUAAUUUACCUCAUACUUAUGCGAUGUAAAAAAAAAAACAUUCGACCAUAAAAAAUGAAAAAUAUUCAUUAUAGUACUAAACGAUAAUUAGAAAAACAAAAAAAAACCUUUAAAAUCGUGGCUGAAUUGUUAGGAACAUAUUACAACAAUGAAUAAAAAGAAAAAGUAUAUGUGCACAACUUUAUGAAAUUACACUUUUAAAACCGUAGUACCUUGUGAAUGGUUGUUUAACUGGUGCAACCUAAAAAUAUUAAUGACAUAAAUUAGAAAGGAUUCUAGGAACACGAUAUAUGCCCUUAAAAAUUCAUAAGAUUAAAUAUAAGCAUAGAAAAGUAAUGUAAGGGAAAAGAAGUAGUGUCAGAGUAAAGAAAUUCGUGCAAAAGCAUUUACAAAGAAUCAGUGUUGCACUCAAAUUUUGUAGUCGAACCAAUGUCAUCAAAAUUAAAGGCAGAACAAGCAAAUACACUAUCGUGUGCAUGGAAAAUUUCUUCAUCAUACACAUGAUUUAAAAGAAUAACAAAAUGUUGAAGCAUAAGCAUAUAAACUAAAUAGGGAUAGAAGUGUAUGGAAACAAUAUUCUACCAAUUCAUAAAACGGACAAUGAACAUGAAACUAUGGACCUAAGAUGAGGUGUGUGAAAAAAUAAGAAAUCAGAACAAAGAGAGGGAGUACGAGGAAAAAUAAUAAAUCAAAACAAAAAGAGGCUAUUUAAAAGAACAUGUCAUUUUUUUGUAUUUUUCAUUGUGGGCUUGUAAGCUUUUUUCUUUUUCAAAAUUGUUUUAUACCAUGUAAAUAUUUUGUCGCUUUGUAAUAUUCUUUUAAAAACCCCUAAAAAUAACCCAUAUUUAUUCAUAUGCUUUUUAAAAGAAAUUACAACUUAACAUUUAUAAUAUAUUAUUGAUGAUUUGAAUAGAAACUUCUCAACAGAUUUCAAAAAGAAAUAAAAUUUCUCUAGAAAGAAUUUUUAAUUAUUUGAUUUGUCUUAGCUUGCAAAUGAAACAUAAAGCAAAUAAAGUUGCAUCAAUUUAUAUAUAAAUGGACUAGUUAUAUCAUUCAACUUUUCUAGGGUGGUUCAUUUCACUUGGUCAUGUAAAAAAAAUUAUAUCAUCUGGUGUCAAAAGGAUAACGAAGAACUUAAGGUCUUAAAGAACCAUAAUUUUGAGAAAUAAGCAGUUGUAUCUUUGCUAGUUAAUAUAGAUUACCUCUUGCCGUAUCUUUAGUAAUUUUGUUACAUAAAAAUAAUAUUUCUCCAAAGAUAUUGAAUGAGAAUUAAACUCAAUUAUAUUUAAUUUGAGAAUUAGCUCACGAUAAUUUAUUUUAUUCUAAUAGAUCUAGUUAAUUAUGAAGAUGCAUGUUAUUUUAUCUAAACCAUAUGAGUUAUAUCUUACCCAAGCUACUUAGUACAUAUAGAAGAUUUUUUACAUGGUUGACAACUUAUGAAGUAGAUCAAAACGACUAUUUUAAAUCAUGCUAAAAUAUUGAUGAUGUACAAGACUAACCAUUAGUGUUCUUAUAUGAAGACAAGGCAAACAAAAUUGUUUAGAAGACAACUUUAUUUGCUAACUUCAAUUAUUUUCUUGUUUUUUCUUUAAAUUUUUGUUUCAUCAUUUUUAACAUUUAGGUGUGGAGAAUAAAUUAAUUAACUAUAACUACAAUUAAUUGGCUGAAUUUUGUUGUCUCUAACGUCUUAGCUUUCUUGCCAGCUUCCAUUACAGUAAUAAACUCUAUCUUCUUUUUUGUUAACUAAUGAUUAUUAACGAAUGAAUAGGAAAUGUUUAGUGUCAUUGGAAGUGAUGAAAAAAGUGAUUGUAACCCACCAAAAAUGGAGAAGGGUUACAACCAUGAAAACAAGUCUGAUUAUCCAUGUCAUGCUCUUGCCCUAACAAAGUGACUUGGCUCCAUUCAAACUAGCAGCAUAAGAAUGGAUAGUAACAUUGUAGUUUAGUUAAUUAAUUAGUUAUAGUUAGUUCAAUCAAUCAAUUAAUUAUAAUAGACUAAAACAAAUAUAAUUAUAAUUAGUUUUUGGUCAACUAAUUGUAGUCUAGUACUCGAUGAAUUAAAUUUUCUAUUUCAGUUAAUUCAAUAUAUUAUGGUAACCACAUCCCACUUUUAGUCUACAAUUAUAAAAGUUUCUACUUUAUAUUUGAAUUAGUCAUGGGUGAACAAUAAAUUUUGGUCAAUUAAAUUUUAUUGCGUCAUCACGACAAAAUUGCGACGAUUAUAAUUUGAUUGAAUUUGGGUACUCAAGUUUUCUCAUAUCUAAUUCAAUUCAAGCUCAGGAUGAAAAAUUGAGCCAAAACAAGGAUAAUGAGUCGAAAUCCAACCAUUAAAUGGACUCAAGCCCACAAGUAAAUGGAUCCAAGUCCAAGUUCAACAAUUAGAUAAGUCCAAACUCAACAAGAAAAUGGGUCCAAGUCCAAGCCCAUGAAAUUUCUCUAUAAAUAGAGACAUUUGUCAUUCAUUCGAGGGAUCUUUUAGUUGAAAGAAGAACUGAAGUUCUGAAGUACUGAAGCUUGGGAGUUUUUAUCAACCUCAAGAUCAACAGCUUCCAUCCUGAAGACCAAAGAUCGCUUCCAUCCUGAAGACCAAAGAUCAAAAAGUUCUAAGUUUACCUCAAGAUCAACAGCUUCCAGCUUCCAUCCUGAAGACCAAGGAUCAAAAAGUUCUAAGUUUUUUUUAACUUGUAUUCGAGAGAAAGCAUCAAAUAAAUAAAUACUAGAGAUUGUAUUUACAAUAUUCAUUAAUAUACAUAGUUUAAUUCUACGAAUUAUAUUUCUUUCGAAAUUUCGUGUGUAUAAUUAUCUCAUUAAUUAAUCAUUUUAACUCUUAUAUUAUUAAAAAUUAAGUAAUCAAACUAACGUAAGCAAAAUAAAUUCAAAACAAUAAUAUGAAACAUGCUACGAAAAAAAAUACAUAGAUAAUAUACAUUAUAUGUAGAAGGUAAAGUAUUACCCUGAUUCAAAAGUCAAGUUAAGAAAAGUAGUGAAAAAAGAGGUAAGAAUUACAUAAUAAAUGGUACAUGCAUGGAGAAUAUACAUUAUAUAUACAAUGUAUCCAUUGUACUUGUAACAAUCCAAAGGAGACCUAUACGUUCAAGUAUAAGAACUUGAGUUUGAUCAAGUUGAUCAUCAUGUGGAAGAAGUGUCUCUGUGACAGUCACAAAAUGAAGUUAGCUAUGUUUGUCCAAUGAUGGUGAUGUCAACCUUUGGUACGAGCUAUUACAGUUCAGGAGUUGAUCAAUCAUCACACUUCAAAUAAAAAUAUCACACUUUAGAGGCCGGUCUAUAAUUGCCAAACUUUGGAACAAAGUAUUAUGAUUUAGAGACCAAUCAUCUUCAUAUAUGAAUCGACAUAGGCGCAGUCUAGAGAGCAUAACGAGUAUCAAUACUAUGAUGCGCCUGUAGAAAUACUUGAACAACUCUGAUCACAACAACCAAAGAAUCAUGAGGGACUAGAGCAUCAUAAACUUUCGAGUUGGCAACAACAGCCAACUCAAAAUCGAUGACGUUUGGAUUGUGAGACACAUUAGUUUUUGAAUGAAUGAAAAUUAUUUACAUUAUCAUAAUGAUAUAAACAUUCUAAUUUACAUUUAAUUAUUUUUCUAAGUAUAAAUAACUACUAUAAAGUAAAAACGUAAAAUUGCAUAAGAAAUUAAUCAAAUAUAAACUAGAUAAAUUACCACGGUAAAUUUUCAUUUCAUAUUAAUAUAAAUGAAAUCAACUAUACAAUUAAAUUUUCACCUAAACGGAUAGUUAAUUGUAAAUUUAAAAACGGAUUACAAAAUUCCCAUAGUAAUUUAGAACUAAAUUGAAAAAGAAAAGAAAUUAAGAACUUCCAUAUUAAUAUGAAGAAAUUAUAAUAUUGAUUUUUUCAAAAAUCAAUAAAUUGAGUACUAAUUUUUUUUUUUAAAAAAAAAACUAAUAUGAAACGAUUUUAAAAAAAGAAAAAAUGGGACGAGUGUUCUUAAUAUAAAAAUUUAAAAAACAAUAUUUGAGUAAUUAGUUUAAUGAACAACAAUAUUUAACCAAAUUUUCGGGUUUGGGUUUUGGGUAACGAAAUAUUUCGUACUUUUAGCAAUUUACCCAUCCUCUUUUUAAUUUUCUGCCCUAAUUUUCGUGCUGUGGAGUUGGGUUGUUUCCAUCAAAGUCCAAAACGAGGUUGAAGAUGACUGCGCCGGAUACUGAACCGGUAGUCCCUUCUUCUUCCCAAGUGAAGGUAUAAUCUACUCUUCCUUUCUCUUUAAUGGCAUAAAGCCGCCUUCUCAACUCUUUCGGUCUUGUCGAAUUUAUUGGCGCCUUGUUAUAUUCCUACGAUACAAGUAGUUUAAUUCAGUAGUGUUAAGGCGUUUGAUUUAUUUGAAUUUUGGUAUCUCUCAGAUUGCAGUUCAUAAUCAUUGGAAAGACAUACAAUGCUCAAUUUCUUACUCAGUUUAAGAAAUGUUGUUGUUUGGUAUACGUCUUAAAUAGAUUGUGAUUCUUCUAUAAUUCAAUAAAUCUUGAUUUUUUUUCUUUUCACACGGCUGCGGGAGUAACUGGCAAUAGCCCGUUGAAGAUAUUAAUUUUGUGCGUAUUUCGGAUUCAUUCUUACUCUAGCUUGAAGUUGGGGUGCUCAUUUUAGUUUCUAGUGUUUCUAUGGUGAGGAAGUGGUAAAUUGCUUGCUCAAAUGAGACAUUGUUGCUCUCAUCUACUGAGACCUUUCCUCGAACUCGAUCUUAGUGAGUUACAUAAGCAACCCAAAGUAAGUUAGCAUCUUUUCUUCAAAAUGGCAAAGUGCCUGUGCUUUUCCAAUACAAGUUAGCAUCUUUUAUUCAAAAUGGCAAACUGCCUGUACUUUCCCCUUCCUCUCUCCCGUAGACCAACGAUCAGCUCUCUCUCGAAGUUGUUGAAGAAGUAUUAGAGAAGCUCAUGUAUUUCAUUUCACACCUCGCCUGAUCGUUUCCACUUUCCAUUCAGCUGUUCGUCUUUUAUUUCAACUUGGGAUCAUAAGACUGGUUGAGUUUUGCUAGUUUCUGUUCGUGAUUUAAACACCUAUCGUUAAUGACACCCUACAAUGGGGCCUCCCAAGGGGCGGUGGUUUUGACAGAAGAAACAAUAGACAUAGUAGGUCAGCAGGCAAGCAUCUUCUCUUGAUCGGAGCACUUUGGUUCUCUCCAUCACUUCUUCCGUUUUUCUUUUCUAGAUCAUCAGUUCAGUAUCAAAACUAAACCCAAACCAAAGGGAUUACUCCCUUGUCUAGAACCAGGAUGGAAAGUCUCUCUUUUUGGAAUAGAUAAAUUCAUUAAGUGCUUGUUGAUUAAUCGCAAAAGCUUGGAACUUCAUGGAUUUGGAGGAAUGUGCAGAAUCUUCUGUUCGAAGAUUGUGAUUUGUGAGUAAUGAGUAUGUUUUCUAUAAGAAAAAGAAAAGCGAGUGGAAAUCAACUUUGUUUUAACUUUUGUUCUCAAGAAAAGAAAAAAUUGCAUUUCUCUAGUUGUGUUUUUAUACAAAUGAAGGGAUAUGAAAGUGAAUUAUAAUUGUUUUUAGAUACUCUUUGUUUUUCUUUUUAUUUAUCGUUUCCUGCUUUCUUAUUUAUUAAAUUGUCUCAGGUGAAGAAGAAAAAGCAGAAGACCGCUGCAGUCUCUAAUUCAGGCGUAGAUCUGAAAUCCAUUAUCCAUAACCAUGCGUUGUUCUUUGAUAAGUUAGUGGAGCUUAUCCCGGUAAGGUUCUAUUUAUCUAGUGAUGAAAAAGGAAAACCUUGGUUUCAGGGCCUUAGCAAGAAAGAAAAGGCAAUGGCUAAGAAGGAAUCAAAGGAAAACCUUAAGAAAGCACGAAGAGAUCGUAUGGAUCCAGAAAAGUCUUCUAAAUCAACUGUUCAUUUGCUUAAAGAAAGCUUGGAAAAUGAAAAGUUGAAAAGUAAAAAUGACGAUGAUGGAGAUGAUGUUAAGCCAGUGGCAACUGGGUGGGACAGUGAUGACCAGUCAGUGACAUAUGAAGAACUGAGACAACGCCUUCAUCGAAAAAUUGAGGAGUUCCGGGUGAAUAGAAAUACAGGAUGUUCAAAUAGGGAAAAGAAGAGAAAUGAAAGAAACGAGAGAAGGGAAGCUAUCCAGAAGAAACGCAAGAGAGAAAAUGACUCUGACGAGAAGAAAUCAGUCACCAUGCCCUCAGAAAUUGAAAUGGAGAGGAAUGUAGUUGAGGCCUCCAAAGAACUUGCGUUUGGUCAUGUUAAACUGGGAACUGAAGAAGAGCAAGGUAAGAAUAAGAAAAAAAAACUCUCCAAGUUGAAGGAACUUGAAAAGGCAAAAAAGUUGGAAGAAGCAAAGAAAGACCCCGGAAAGGGCGAGAUAGUAUUGAAGAAGCAUUCUUGGCAAGCAGCAACAAGUAGAGCUGCUGGGUUUAAAGUUCAUGAUGAUCCACAGCGUCUGAUGAAGAGUUUACGGAAGGAAAAGAAACAACAGCUGAAGAGUGUCGAGAAAUGGAAAGGUAGAAUUGAAACCACCCAGAAGAUGAAAGCAGAAAGACAACAAAAGAGAUCUGAAAACAUAGCUCAGAAAAUCCAUGACAAGAAGAUGAAACGGAUUGAAAAGAGGGAGAAAAAGUUAAUGCGCCCUGGCUUCGAAGGUCGCAAGGAUGGUUUCAUUAAUGGAAGCAGCGCAUGAAGUGGAAAGAAGUGAGUGUAACCUUCGCAGUUUCUCCCCCAGUUUUGAGGUUUGAAUUUAAAUUGGUUAAUCUAUUCACACCCUUCAUAACUUCAUCUCAUGUAUGUUUAGGGAAGUUGUUUUAACAUCAAAGUAUGGAUUCAAAUUCAACAGUCAAAUCAGUUUUCUACCCUUGUUUGUUUUGACUAUAGUAAGCAAUUCAGCAGUUGCCCGACGAGAAGAAUUUAGUCCAUAAACUAAUCAGAUUCAUAACGUGAUACAAACGUUGAGAUCAAAUUAAUGCAAUCUGUUCAAGUUAUUCUUUACAAAUCAAAUGCUUCAUGUUGGUUGUCACCCAUGGUCUGAUGCAUUUAGCUCCAGAUGUUAAUUGUGUUUAAUGGCGAUUUGUAUUUUAUUAAUUACCAUGGCUUCUCUUCUCAUUUAAAGUAUUCAGUACAUUUGUCUUUUUGUUAUGACAAUAGCAGUUGGUUCAUUACAUUACUAGUUGUUUUCAUAUGUUUUGUUUAGUGGAUCGGCCCUUUUCACAUCUAAACACAAUGAAUUUGUCUAAGCAUAACAAAAAUAUGAAACCGCACAUCCUUGUUUCUAUGUGAAAGUUCCCAAUGGCUUAUUAAACAUUCCUACAUUGAUGGUUUUGAAAGAGAUCGACAGAACCACAAACUAUGUUAUACAUAAAAACAAAACAAGAAAAAAACAAACCCAACUGAUAUCAUACACAACCAUCCUUACUAAACCACCCUAGUUCCGGUUGUUCCUUUGGGAGGCUCGCCGGGAGCUGCUGUUCCUCCGCCCAUGCCAUAGUCGGUGUCCCAAUAACCAGGGCCAUAGCGGCGGCUGAAGAUUCCAGCAUGGAGCAAAAGCAGAUACAGAAGCUGAGUGAAAGUCAAGAUAAUUAUAAAAGCUUCCACCACUCUCAGCCUCCACCCUCUGUGGCCUCCUAUGUUGAUUUGCUUACAGGCCAACCUGUGGAGAGGGAAGAGUAACAAACCAAUGAUAUUGUUGUUGAAGGCUAUCACAGUCUAAAGAGGAGAAUAUUUUAUGGAGUCGAUUGAAAAUUACCCAAAAGCUAGAACAGUUACAGCCCAAGUGAGCAAGGAAGUUGAUCCUGCACCGGCGAGGCUGUCGCUCCUCCAUGCUCUGAUAUGGUAGAGUCCGGCCAGUUUUGAUGCUAUUCCAAGAACAGCCGUCAGCAUUGCAAAUGUCAGGAAAAACGGCGUCGCUCCGUUGCCUCCCAUACCUUGUGCAGUCCAAAACAAAACACCAUCAACAUCUCUUCUUUUAGUUUCAAGAUCGAUAUAUAAUCAAGUAAAGACACAAUCUCAAAGGUUCAGUCCGAUUCUUCACUGUCGAACUCAAAGAUAAAAUAUUUAGGACCAGUUUGGGAAACUGAGCAAUAUUUUUUUCCUCCUCAAAAUCACACAAUUACAGAACUGAUAAUAUAUGAUUUAGUUAUUUAAUCAAUUUUCUUUCCUUCGUCUAAUUUAAACUGUCAUAUAAAAUUUUCAAAUAAUAGGUUCAAAAGAUCAUUGAAAAUUUGGCUCAUAGUUUUGUUAAAUAUUUUUCAAAUUAUAAUAAGUUCAAUAGAUCCUUGAAAAUUUUGCUCAUAGUUCUGUUAAGGAAACAUGGUUUUUAGGAAAUUAUUCUAAAUAUUUAGAAUGUAAUAUAAAGGAAAAUUAUCUUUUAAAAAUAUUUAAGAAUAUAGCAAAACAUUACAAAAUAGAUACCAUCAUGAUAUUUGUGAAUUUUGGUAUAUUUGAAAAUAGUAAAAGAUUAAAAACACAAAAAGUACAUUAUUUUACGGAAGCAUUUGCAUUUAAAGUAAAAGCAAAAAAGAAUGAAAGCAUUUGCAUUUAAAGUAAAGGCAAAAAAAGAAUGGAAAGAAAAGUUACUUGGAUGGUAGGUAGUGCCAUUGAUGAAUCUAUUAAGACACCAACUAGCAAAACCCAAGAGAAUCAAAUACAUAAUCAAGUUAAGAAACAACAAUGGAGCUGCCAUGUUCCUUCCCAUUGUUUGAGCCAUCUUUUCUCUCUAACCACAACAAAAAACACUUUCAAAGAUGAAGAUGGAUAGAUAUUAUCACAAAUCCACAACAAAGAAAAGCAGAUAAGGCAAACCAAAGCGCUUUUAAUACAUUCCCUGUAACAACCAAAGUUUGUAUUUAAAUACACAUAUAUAGUAGAACCAAGCUUAGUCCCUUACAUACACGUGUGAACAAAAUGUCUUGCAUGCUUUCUCAUAGGUACACGUGUUGGGACACUUGUCAAUAACCUUCUCUUAUGUUGAUCAAACGGUGCAGGUUUCUGAUCCAGUAAGGUCUCAAUCAAAAAGUGCUUUUGUUUUGUGUUUCUUUGAUAUGGCCAACAGAAGAAUGAAUGAAGGAAUGUGAGAAUUAUGUCUGUUUCUAGCUGCUGCUUGUUUUAAUGGGAAUAAGUAUUAUGCAUUACUGUGGGAGCUGAGUUAUUUUUUUCUUUUUACCCAACAACAGAACUACUUGUAAGGUUUAUGAUUAGAAUUAUUUUUAUGUUGGGAAAGUGUAAUAAAAAUAUUCAUUCUACAACUACUAUCCUUUUUUUGUCAUGAAGGUUUUUUAAGGAUUAGAAACAAAAUGCUCAAUUUAUGAUUGGUCCUCAGUAUUUAACACUUUCCAAUUUCAACCAAUGUGCUAACCGUGAUGAUAUUGGAUAUUACAAAAUGGUAUUAGUGGAUAAUUUAUUUAGUUGGUAACAAAUAUAUCCUCUUUAGUUCUUGCACUCAGAUUCAUUGUUCUAGAAAACAAUUUAUUUGAUCCUACAAUACUGAAUUUGAGAAUUCAAUUCAUUCUCUAAAAUUAAGAUUUUUAUUAAAUAGUAAACCAAUUCAUUAUAGUUUGAAUAUCCAUCCCUAAUUCAAUGUCUCUAACAUGAUUGAUCCCUCUUUAGAUUUUAAAAGUUUGAUAUUUUUGUAAUAUUUGUGAUACCGUUUGAAGUAUAGUAAUAAUGUGACAGGUAAAACAUUAUAGAUAUUGUCAUUGGUUGUCCAUAAACAUUUUGUUGUAUUAGUUUAAUAUAUAUAUAGAAUAAUCUUUGAGCUUCUGAAUCACUCAAACUCUGUUUCUGUAAAAGAGCAGUCAGAUAUAAAAAGAAGAGGUAUGAUGCUUUUGACUUUAGAAUCAACAUAGACAAGUUUGUCUUACAAGGCACAAGGAAAGUUCAUACAGAUUUAGAAGUUGUGUUUUCGAAGCUGAGAAGGAGAAUUCAGUGUCCCGUUUUUCUCUAUUUCACGCAGCCUUGCUCUUUCCAUCUUCCUUUUGCGCCAUUCCUCCAGAGCUUUGUCACAAACCAUUCACACUUAUAUUAGAUGAGAUACAAGAUGGUGGUUCCGGCUAAACAAGUCGAUUCAACUUGCUUUUUUUUUGUUAGAAUCAGCAUCAAACUAAUAAUUGGCCUUAAGGGAAAAUAUAACCAAAGUUGAAAUGUUUAUAGGUUUUAACCUUUCACUUUUGAGUCUAGUACCAAUUUUGAAAAUUCUUUAAAAACUAAUUGGUACUUGAUAUAAAUCUCAAAUGUGUAUCUAGUAGAUCCACAAAAUUUUUAAAAUCCGAAAAAUUAGAGAGAUUUAACUUGAAAAUUCAAGUUUCGGAAUCAAGUUGGCAAAAAUCUCAAAGUCUAGGAACCUGAAGACAAACCAAAAGAAUUCAGUUGUUUUGAUUUACGGCUGGCAUAAAGGAGGAUGGGCUGGGAGGGAGAAGGUCUCAGAGCAGAAAUAUUGUACCUUUUAAACUAGAAGCAUCAUUGAGAGAACGGAAGUCUUUCAAUCUUUUAGAAAGAUCCAUUGCAGCAUUCUGCUUGGAGUCUUUGUCUUGUACAGCUUCUGUUUCAUAAUAUGCUUCCUCCUGAAUUUCCCUUACCUGAAGAAUUAUGAAGAUUUAAACUCCAAUGCAAAAGAAAAUUCCAAAUGUGCAUUGGCACCAGGGUGCAAACUAAAAAGGAGGGAUAAACAUAGUUCGAGUAAAUUCAAGUAACUAAGUCUAAAUAGUCUAGUCUUCAGUCGUUUGUUGUUUCUUUCUCCUUCCUUUUACUCAAGAGGUCAAACCAUGAGUAACUCUAUGGUAAUUGGCAUUUGCAUAGAACUUUUUCCUACAAAUUAGAGGUUCGAUCUCUCUCCCCACUGUUGUUUGUACUCAAAUAAAAUAAAAUAAAAUAAAUGAAUAAAAAGUCUUGAACUCGAGAGGCUUCGUUUUCAUUUUCUUGGAAUUAUCUUGUUGAAUUGACAAUUUACUCAUGAAACCUAAGUCUUAUGUUUUGAUGGGUUAUAGGGUAUGCUUGAUGAAGUGCUUACCCUUUUAAUCAGCUCCAAAGGUUGCAUAGAAAGUCGAAUCUCUUGAGCUUCCUUGAUAUAUUUGAGUUGAUCUGCAGUGCCAAUUUUCAGACGUUAUCUAAUUUAGCAAUCUAAUUGAGUUACACAACCACCAGAAACAGGAAAAUUAACAGCAAAAAUUAGAGAGCAUAAUCAAAGUAGAACAGAACACCAAAUUCAGACCACAAUUUGUUCACACAGCAAAGUUCAGAUAAUAAGUCAGAUUAGACAAAAAGUAUUCCCUUUACGCUUAGUAAUGUUUCAAAUAUCAAAAUAUUAAACUAGAUAAUGUCUGAAGCACUAUAUAAAUUCAUUACUAGCUCAAGGGUGAUAACAAACAAUCAGGGCAAAAAACUAUGCUCGUUCUUUCCUUCAAGCUCUACUGGGAAGGAACAGGCAGGGCUGCAGAAUUGCUUAAACUAAAAUGAUUUUUCUUUUAUGAAAUUGUUGUCUUGCAUUACCAGGUCAAGAGUGAUAAUAACAAUCGGGGCAAAAUAUACAGAGGACAAAGCAACACAUAGAACUGUGUUAUCGAAAUGGGCUGAACGUUGCAGGAUCAUUAUUUAUCCAACGUAUUAGCAAGCUCUAAUAGAAACACUUCCUAAAGAACAUAUCGAUCCAAAUUAUAUGCUAAGAGAAUUACCCAACAUUUGAGCAAGUUUACUGACUACAGCCAGCUUUUAGAUUCUCCAAGAAUAUGUGACGAAUGAAAAUUGAUCCAAUUAUACAGAUAACAAUGUCGCUAUGGCAUCACAUCACAUAAUGCCAAGUUAUAAAGUUUGAUGUGAAAUGUCAAAACAUAACAAUGACAAGCAAAGUUUGAAAGCAAGCUUUCGCACAUGGCAAGAUAAUGGUCGACCAUGAGCCUAAACUUGUCCCUUUUAAGAACCUCAAUUGAUUGCUUAAAGCAUGAAAGAGGUAAUCCUAUUUCAGUUCCAAACUUCUGUUUUGAAGGGGGGUCAAAGUUUUAGAUCAUUGUCUCCCUCUCACCUUUGAGUAAGGUUUUAAUCAGUUUGGAAGCUUACAAGUAUCGGACUUACUAUGUUCCCCACUUUCAAUCUCUCUUCUUUUGUGAAGGGAGAUAUUAGGCGCUACCACAAUCUUCUGAAGUUUCCACCCGUUAUCUCAACUCAAGUAAUGAAAGGUCAUACAAUAAUAGGACUCUCGAAAUUUGGAGAACACAUAGAUAUAAUGUUCCAUUCCAAUAACAGCCGAUUUUAUAACAGAAGAAACGGAAGUAAAAACUGAAAAUUUGAUGUUACAAUUGUGCUUUCCCAAAUUAGAUCACCUUCACUCAACUCCUACACGAAAUCUCUGCCAGAAAAUUUAAUCCAAAAAUGCAAGAUUUAAGAAUAAAAAAUUAUAGGUACAAAUGACACCUGACAGAGUAGGGAUUUCCAGGAAAGCCAAACAUGCAAAUAACAGAGGAUGCAAACAAGUCUUGGACACCAAAGUUCUUUUUUCUUUCUUUUCAUUCCCUUGGGAGUUUGUUCCAUAAACACUUCCUUUUCAUUUUAUCAAGGAAAGUUGUUUCUUGUUCCCAAAUAACAGAGGUUGCCAGCAAAUCUUAUAACCCAAUUCUGGACUAAUAUAAUCAAAACAACAAUUGCUGUUGCUAGCAGAAAAUUUCAGGUGCUUAUGAUAUUUGAGAGAGUCUGAACUUCCAGGAUAUCCAAAAUUACAAUAAUGAGAUAUCCAUUCCAUCUCAGCUACAGAUUUUUACCGAUUUACAAUGACAACUAGGGGAGAUCAAACUUCACAGUGCUAAUUUGAUCACAACAGAAGAAUGUAAAUGUUGGGAACUUAAAAGAAGACAAGUUUCAUUAUCUUGUUCAAGUCUACAACUGCCUUAGAUUCUGACUAACUGGAUUGAAGGAUUACAUUUCAAGUCCUCAAAGAUGCAAUUUCUUGUUUCCUGGUGGUACAUAUAUAACACCUUAAUCCUCAACUUAUCAAUCGCCGACAAGCAAUAUCCAAUUCAAACAACUACGUUAUCAUCUCAUGGAAUCAAAACUCAAAGCCAAGGAAAAAUCUCACCUAACUUCAUCAAAUCCCCAACAAAUAUUUCGAUUACUGCACAUGGAAUUUAUAAAAGAAAUUGGGAAAAGUAAAGAGGAGGAGAUAAGACAAACCCAGUUUGUGAUUUGUCGACAAGGGUCUGUUCCGUGAAGAAGCAACAGAUAAAAAACCCUGAAGCAGAAGAAAAGCAGCCACUAGGUUCAACAAGCACAAAGCUAUGGUGGCAUUCCUAAACGAGAACCUCAAUCUCCAUGACUGUUGGACCUCCAUUUUUUCUAUAGGUACUAUCAAUGGGUAUUCCCUUUACUUUCUCAAAUACCAUUCAACUGUUUACAUCGAAGCCGCAGAAAUUAGAAGCAACACCAGAGAAAUCUGCAGGUGAUGAUUUUGAAGAAAUGAAGGAAAUCAGUUUGGGGGUAAUUGAGAAAAAUGGGAAGAGAUUCGUAUAAAAACUCUCUCUCUCUGAAAUUGGUAGUGAAAACGAGAGAAAUUCUUCAAUUCAGUUCAACUGCUUCUCCUCUCUGUUCUUCCCUUCAUCUUUGGUUCCUUCCUAUUCUUUUUAUGUAUUAAAUAAUGUCUUAAUUACUUUGAUUAAACAUUGAUGAAAAGUGACAGCUACUUUGAUUUUACCAUGGCAACUACAACUACUCUCGGAUGGGGUCAGGUGAUUUGGGUUACUAUAGUCUAUGUUAAUAAUAGUUCGUCAAUUAGUACUUUAUUAUGCUAUGUAUUAUUAUAAGUGAGGUUUGGAUGUCGAUUAUUAUAUUUUGAGUUAUUAUAAUCCGUGCUUGGAGGUGCAUACUAUAAUUUAGGUUCAUUUUUCUAUUUUUUAAAUAUUUUUUUUGUACAUAUUAGAGGUGUUCGUGGUUCGGCUUAAAGCUAAAACCACAAAAUGAAAAAAAAAAAAUCUCAUUUGAAAGCAAACUGAACCGCUCAUCUAUGUCAAACCGAAUGAAAACCGAACCACUUGUACAUAAAUAAAACUGAAUCAAAACCGAACCACUUGUACAUAAAUAAAACUGAAUCAAAACCAAAUGGGUGCCAAAUAAUAAACCAGCAAUCAAAAUAGCCAAAUGAAUGUCAAAUAAUUAACUCAAGAUGCCAAAAAUUAAUUAAUUAAUAGGUCAAAUGGAAAAUAGGUAUUGCCAAAUAGAGGAUGAUAGUUAAUUAAUCAUGGAUAAUUAUUGAGACAGAAAAUGGGUGUAAGUAAUUUACACAGAAUGAAUGUGAGAUGGUUGCUAAAUAAUUAAAAGGAUACAAAUAAUUAAACUAUGUCAAAGCCAAAUGAUUGUCAAAUGGGUGCCAAAUGAUUAACCUAACAACUAAUUAAUUAGUGAUUUAAAUGAAUAAUUAAGACAUCACCCAAAUGGGUGCCAAAUAAUUAAUCCACUAUCAUCAAUCAUGAACAAAAAAAGAACUUACCAACACGUCUGCCUUUAAAUGCAAAAGGUUUUUUCUUGAUCCUCUUCACCUCUUCCCAAAUCACAGAUAAAAAAAAAAAUGUUUUACGUGUCCUCCUCUAUCAAAUCCUCCGAAAAAAUCUUCUCCCCCCAAUUGAAUUUCUUUUUUCUCUAUAGGGCUAGGUCUUAUUUUUUUUUAUAGUGAAAUGAAGUAGUUUUAGAUAGUGGAGUGGAGUGUAGCAGAGAAAGGGGAAAAAGGUGGGAGAGUGGGAGAGUGGGAGCGUGGAAAACAGAGCGUGGUGACGAAGAAAAACGAAAAUAGUGGAAUGGUUGAGAAAAAUAGAGAGGAGAAGAACUUUUAUUUUUAAUUUUAAUUUUAAAUAUGUUUUUUGUUUUUAUUUUUGUUUUAAAACAUAAAUUUAAAAUUUAAGAAUUAAUAAUUAAGAUUUAAAAUUUAAAAUUUAAAUUCAAACUCAAUUUUUUUAAAAAAAAUAAUAAAAAUAAUAAAAAAUACAUGACAAAAUAUGGUAUCUACCGUUUGCCCCCAUUGUCCAUCAUGAAAAUAUUUAAAUGUGGACAAAGGAAAUAGAUAAGGUAUUUGGGCCAAUUUUUUUUAUCUUUUGAGAGAAAAGAAAAAUAUCAACCUUAGCUCUAUGACUAGGUUUGAUAAAUGAGAGAAAGGACCUGAUGGACAGGUUUCAACCUCAACUUCAGAUAUGGACUCGAUUUAACCAAAUCUGAUAGACAUGCUUCGACCUCAGCCAAAAUUUCAUAAAUGAGAAAUAUUUGGCUCCUGACCAUAAGCUAAUUGUACUGGGGAGUACUUAUGAUAAGAUGUCGGUCUUAUGCAUAUAAGUGAUGCUGCAUGCAGAAUAACAUGACCCCAUACAGAUAAUGGAAGCUUUGCUCUUAUAAAUAAUGGUAUGACAAUCAAUUGUAAACGCUUGAUAAAUGAUUGUGUCAAACCAUUUUGUGUCUGAACAUGCAUGAGUUACAGGAUGUUUCAAUAUUUAUCCCAAUUGACAUGCAAUAAUUAUUAAAUGCUUGGGAUGUAAACUCACCAGCAUUAUAAAUCGAAUGUUUUUAUUGUAUAAUAAAAAAAUUGUGCUCUUAAUUUGAUUAUUUGAGCAAGUAAUCUUGCAAACGCAAGGUUUCGACUUGAUAAUAAACACAUAUGUGACAAUCUACUGGAUGCGUCAAUUAAAACCAUGAAGUAUCUAAAUGGUCCACUUGGUGGAUUAAUGGGUCCACAUAUGUUACCAUGAAUUCAUUCUAAAAAUGUAGGUGACUCAACUCCCACUUGGUUGGUGAUGACCUAAUAAUCAAUUUUCCUUGAGAGCAAGCAACACACGAUAAUUCAUUACAUUAAAGAAUCUUCUAGUUCUUCAAUAGAUGCCCAUGAGAAUUUUCAAUAAUUCUUCUCGUCAUUAUUGAUCCCGGAUGACACAAUCGAUCAUGCCAAACAGUAAACAUAUCUAAAUUUAUGAACUUCGGGCUCAUGGUUGCAUAUGUUUAAUUACUCGUAUAUGAGUAUAAUAUAAUCCAGAAAAAAAGCCGGCAGUGUUUCCAAUAUACGUUUUUUCUGUGAAACAAUAAAUGUAAUAUAAAUAUAUUUUAUAUUAUUUUUAUUGUUAGUUUCAACAUGAUAACCAUUUUUACGUAUAUCUUUGAAACUCAAUAAGUUUCUUUUUUACUUACUAGAGAACAAAGCAUUAUUAAUUGUGAAUUUUGUUCCUCUAGGCAAAAUAAGGUUUGCUUUACCAAAACCUUCAAUCGAAUUUGUAGAAUCUGAUAUUGUAUUGACAUUUGCUUCAAGAAUUGUCAAUGUAGAAAAAUACUUUUUAUUUUUAAGUAUUGUGUGCAUAGUUGCACUAUAUGCCAAACAUAAGUCUUCAUUAUUCAAAUUUGAGUCAGCCAAAAUAUGAGAAAUGUCCAUAACGCUUCAUAAAAAAGAAAUUAUAAUAAGUCUCAUGGUAAAAAAAAAAAUCUAACGUUGAAAUAUAAAUAAUUUAUAUAAAUUGAAAAAUGUUGAAUAGAGAAAACACCAAAAUAUAAUGUAAAUAUCAAUUUUGGACAUUAUCAUAAUUAAAGGAAGUAUUUUCCACUCCUUCAUUAACAUCAGUUUUCUGUUCAGGAGACUAAAAAAACCAGCAACAUCGAAAUGUGUCAUAUUCGAAGGGUCAUAGACAUCAUCUUGAUAGGCAAAGUUUACUUCCACGUUCUUCCAUUUUUCCUUUAAUGAAGCUUAAUAGAGGUCGACUAAGUGCUUGGACGUACGACAAGUACGAGUCCAAUGACCAUUCAUACCACAACGAAAGCAUUGAUUUUCACCACUUUUUAAUUUCUUAUUUUGUGGAGUUUUUCCUCUAUGAACAUCAUUUGUGGUUUUCUUGAAAUCUAAAUAAUUAUUACCACGGAAAGUAUAAUUACUUCUUCCUUUACCACGGUCACGACCUUGACCUCAACCACGACCUCGACUAUUAUUGUUUGAAGAUACAACAUUCCCUUCAGGGAAUGAUGUUGUUCCAAUUGGUCGAGAGUCAUGGUUUUUCAUUAAUAACUCAUUAUUUUGUUCAGCCACAAGAAGACAUGAUAUGAGUUCAGAAUAUUUUUUAAACCUUCUUUCUCGAUAUUGUUGUUGUAGGAGCAUAUUCGAGACAUGAAAUAUGGAAAAUAUUGUCUCUAACAUAUCUUCAUCAGAAAUUUUUUCUCCUUGUAACAAUAAUUUUGAACAAAUCUUAAAUAAUGCGGAAUUAUAAUCACUUAUUGAUUUAAAAUCUGCAACCUUAAGUGCAUCCAAUCAUAUUGAGCUUUAGAAAUAAUCACACUUUUUUUUUAUGAUCAUACAUUUCUUUUAAACUUUGCCAUAAUUUAUUGGGAUCUUUUACUGUAAGAUAUUCAAUUUUUAGUCCCUCAUGAAAAUGAUGUUGAAGGAAAAUCAUGACUUUUGUCUUUUCUUGACUUGAAGUCGUGUUUCCUUCUUUAAUUGUUUCUCCAAGAUUCAUGGCAUCCAAAUGAAUUUCAGCAUCAAGCACCCAUGAGAAAUAAUUAUACCAUUGAUAUCAAGAGCUAGAAAUUCUAAUUUGGUAAAACUAUAACAAAUAAAUUUAUUUAUAUUAGAAAUUUAAUAAACAUGUUAAACAUGCAUUAUAAAACAACUUAGAUAAAUAUCAUAUUAUGGAAAAUUGUGACAACAUACUUAUACAUAAUAUAUUAAAACAACAUGGUAAAUUGAUAAAAACAUUUAGAUAAUAAAAAUACUUACAAAACUUAUACUAAUUGAAAGUAGAUAUUUAAACUAUAGACACAAACCAUUAAGAACCCAUAAACUAUACAUAGAUCUUAAAAUAAUUGAAAUAAGAAUCAAACAUAAACAAUCACAUAAAUCAUAAAUAAAUAAGAUGAAUCAAUCAACAAUCUUAUUAUGAACUAACAAUAUUUUAACAAACAAUAAUUUUGUAAACAUAAUAUGUAAAAUUACAACAUGCAAUAGGUUCAAAAGAUUACCUUCUCAAACAUUUAAACUAUGCAUAAAGUUUAUAUGAAAUAGUUCAUGCAAUGUUCACAAGUACAAAACAAGAAAACAAACUAAUACUUUAUAGCCUACCUUUUGCAAAUGAUAAAAUUGUAGAGACUCGUGCUGAUAAUGUGUUAUAAAACAAGAACAAAGAAGCUAAAUAAGGAUAAUGAAGCAACCAAAGAGAAUAAGUAGGGAAUGGAGGAAGUAGAAAACAAUUGUACUCAAGUGUGGUGUGUCUUACAAAGGAACCACAUACCUCUAUUUAUAGGACAUGUCAUGGUAUGGGUUACACUAUGAAAUUCAAUGGGAUGAAAGUUACAUGAAAUAAAGUGAGAGUUAUAGGAAUAUUGGUAACUCUUUAUUGAAUCUGUUAUAGCAAACAAGGGCUAGUGGGUUUGUUUCCUCUUCCUCGGCCACGUCCACGACUAUUGAAGUUGUUUCCAUCUCCACGUCCAUUUGGGUUCAUACGACUAUUGAAGUUGUUUCCAUCUCCACGUCCAUUUGGGUUCGAAUGAUUUCCACCAUAUUGAUACGAGGAAUGAUUUCCACCAUAUUGAUAGGAGUUCUUAUUCUGCCGAUUGUCACCCCCUCUAUUGCGAAUUCCACCAUAUUGAUAGGAGUUCUUAUUCUGCCGAUUGUCACCCCCUCUAUUGCGAAUUCCACCAUAUUGAUAGGAGUUCUUAUUCUGCCGAUUGUCACCCCCUCUAUUGCGAACCAUAUUAACAGCAUGAUUAGAAAUAUCUUUCGUUGAGAGUUAUGAUGUUCAAGGCGCUCUGAUUGCAUAUCCAACCAAGAUAAUAUAUGUGACUGGAUUAUAUAUCUCAUCUAGCCCCAAUAACACCGGGCUCCUUCCCACUAGGUUGAUAGUCUUUUGGGAUGCCGAGCCGAAAGAUUCAUUGAUUGUUUUGAAAUGAGUCAUUGAUUCAAGGGAGAGUUGCUAAAAUUUGGAAUUGUUGAUGAUUGACUAUUUUCUCUUUGCUCUGAUACUAAGAUAAAUUUGAUAGUAUGGGGUUCCAUCUCAAAACCAAUUGGCAAUGUGAGGAGUAGUCCGUCUAUCCUAUAUGGAGUAUGAGUCCCCUUGGUUUUUUCCAAUGUAGGACUCUUAAUAUCUCCAAUACGCAAAAUUUGUUAUUUACGAACCUUGACUAACGAAUUAUUACUCCUGAGCAACCUGAAAUGAUCAUGAAAAAAAGAAAGAUUAGCCACCAACUUCUAAAAUAAAAGAGAACAAUGACAUUAGAAAGUAGAAGGAGGGAAGACAUACCAAUAUUGUUUAGUCGGAAGUCUACUCGUACAUUACAAGAAAAGUAAGAUAACAUUAAAUAGAAGGUUAAAAGGAAAAACAAAACAAAAAAGCCCACCCCUAAAGGUUUGAAAUCGAAUGUCGUUUGUUAUAGUGUAGUAUAUAACAAAAAGAUCAAAUUAAUUAUAAAAAGAUAGAAAAAAAAAGAUGAUAAGUAAAUCUCUCGAUGCAAAACAAUUGGAAUGCCAAAGAUAAACAAUGAAUAAAGAAACAUACCAAGAAAUGUUUUUUUAACUAAUUUAAUUUUUCAUCGCAUUUUAAUUAAUUAUUAUUUUAAAAUUUAAUAUUAAUUUAUUUUUAUCCCUCCAACUAAAAAAUGGACUCUCACAUUUUAACUUAAUUUAUUUUUCUUCUCCUAUCGACUUCUUGUAUUGAAUGACCCACUUUGUAUGUAUUGACUCCGUCACUUCAUAUGUGUCACUUUUAAUAACAAAACAUUUAACCAUAAAAUGUAGCAUUAUUUGUCUUUACAAAUCAUUCCCUUACAUAAUUCUAUGUUGUCACUCACCAUUAGGACUAUAAAUGGAUAGUGUUCUCGAACGCUAUCUAGUGUAUUCAUGAUUAACUCACUGAGUAUAUUUGAAGAAAAUUCAUGUUCAUGACCUUCGGAGUCCAUCUCUUCGAAUUUAUCAUCGGUCUCUAUUUUAAAGUCUUUAUAUUUAUUGUUAGCUAUAAUUUCUUUAUUAUCGCACACUGAUUGUGCAUUUAAGUUUAUACCCAAAUUAUCUAUUUAAGUUUCCACAUAGAGGUUGGUCACAAUCAACCUCAUCGACACCAUUUAUAAUAUGAUCAAUUAUAAACAACAUAAAUGACACAUUUGUUUGUCAUUUUCUGAUUGGUUUUAAUUUUUGGGUUGAAUGUUUUUGCAUCUUUUUUCAUAUUAGUACUUCUACUUCUUACAUAUUCUUAUGCGUGAUUUUUUAUCUCCUCUUUCAUAAUUCUUUGUCAUUUCUCAUCUUCGACGUCACCAACUUAUUCUUUUUUCAUUAUCAUGUAUUAUGUCCUUCUUUUUUCAUUAUAAAUCUAAAGGAUCGUUUGGAUCGUUUAACAAUAUCAUUUAGAUUUGGUAUCCUCACAUUACAUCAAUAGUGUCUAAGAAAUUUAUUUUGAUCCUACCAAAGUUAUGAUAUAAAUUUUCUAAUAUCUAGUAGGUUAGGAUCAAAUUUGAUAUUUUCUUCGCUUUUUUGAUCUUUUUUGCUCGAAAAACAAUAUUAAUAUCAAUAAUUAUUCUAAAAUAUUUAAAUUCAUGUUUUUUAAACAAAUUGUUUUAAACAUACAUAUAUAAUAAUUAAAAAAUAAAUUUAAUAAAUAAUUAAUGAAAAGGAUAGAAAAGAUAAAUAUAAAUAUUUAAAUAAGUUUUUAUUUAUUUAUUUAAAAAGAAGUUUUCAGAACAGCUUUAUUUUGAUAUUUAAUCCGACCUCCCAAGUAAGAACAGAAAAGCAUUAAAUGGAUGAAAAUGGUGGAUGUGGAAGGUCAUAAGAAGUGAGAGAAAAAGAUAGUUUGAUAGAAGAAGAAGCGAAUAACAGUAAAGGGAGAAGAGAACGAAAAAGACUGAUGGGGUCACCAACUACGUAAUUUUACCCAGCAGGCCAAAGAUCGUGGGUCUUCAAAAUUUAGGCCGAAUAUCAUUUGCAUCCCUCAAAGUAAGGCAUCCGGACAAAAAGCCCAUGGAUUAGCAUUGGGUAAAAUGAGAUUUUCUUCAAACCCACCUAGUCUGUAUUUCCCUUUUAUCUGAAAGAACGGAUAACUGGGUACCUCCCUUUGAAUUUUGGUAAGCCGCUAGAUAAUAGAGUGCCCGGUGUUUCUUUAAGCAAACCACCUCGUCCAAACUCCGAACGGGUCACGCCGGCGGCAGGUUUUUAUUUGGGUUAGUCUAAAAAUUUCAGCACGUAAUCGUUUUGAUUUCUUUAGUCACCCCUUUUGUUCGAUGGGUGCUUCUUAAUUUGAUUUCAAUUGCCUUAAAACUUUGAAAUUGUUCAUGGGUUUCUUCAUUUUACCUCUUUUAUUAAGUUGCUUUCAGUUCUCAAUGUCUUUUUUUUUUUUUUUCUCUCAUUUCCAAUCCAUUUUUUCAAUGUUUUGCAGCUGUGUUUUUUUAAACUGUUGAUGCUGGAAGAAUAUUAGGGACUACAAGAAUGGCAUUUGUAGGAUUGAGAUGCAUUCGAACUCUACCAUUGUUGUUUCACCCUGCUGCUUUGUUUUCAAGAAGGAAGAAAGUUUUGUAUUUCUCUGUGAAAGCCUCACAGUCCCAAACAGCUACUCAAGAAAAGCAAAGACCUAUGGCCAUUUCACCACAUUUUGAUAAACAGAUUAUUGAUAAAAUAUCUAAGGAUUAUGAAGCAGUUAUUGGUAUUGAAACCCAUGUCCAGCUCUCCACUCUCACCAAAGCCUUCUGUAGCUGCCCUUACAAUUAUGGUUCUUCACCAAACACUAAUAUCUGCCCUAUUUGCAUGGGGCUUCCUGGUGCCUUACCUGUUUUGAACUCAAAAGUGAUUGAGUCUGCAGUGAAGUUGGGCCUUGCACUAAACUGCAGUUUAUCUUUCAACUCAAAAUUUGAUAGGAAACAAUACUUUUACCCUGACCUUCCUAAGGGAUAUCAAAUAUCUCAGUUUGAUGUCCCAAUUGCAAGUGGUGGUUACAUUGAUCUCGAUCUUCCUAUUGAGUAUGGUGGGGGGCAUAGGCGAUUCGGUAUCACCAGGGUUCACAUGGAAGAGGAUGCCGGGAAGCUGCUUCACUCUGAAAGUGGAAGCUACUCUCAGGAAAUGACUUUGUAUCCCUAAUCUCAUAGUUAUAUGAUCUUAAUUCCCAACAAAUAUUUUAGCCUAUGGUCUUAGCACACCUUCAUUUUGAUCAAGUUUAUGACCAGUUUCAAUAUGUGAAUUUUAUUAAUGUUGAUUUUUUUUGUCCUUGGCUGGAAGUUCGACUGUUUUAAGUUAUUUUUUUCAGGUUGACUUGAACAGAGCCGGAGUGCCAUUGCUUGAGAUUGUUUCUGAACCUGACAUGAGAACUGGGAUUGAAGCUGCAGAGUAUGCUGCAGAAUUACAGAGGUUGGUUAGAUAUUUGGGUGUAAGUAAUGGAAACAUGCAAGAAGGUUCUCUACGGUGUGAUGUGAAUGUCUCUGUCCGUCCUAUUGGGCAGUCACAAUUUGGAACAAAGGUAGCUUAGUUCUCUUACAAAUAUUGUUUCUCUGCAGUAAUUGGUAAUUGGAAGACACGUAGGGACUGUUUGGUCCACUGAGUGGAUUUAAUAUGUUGGUUAGGAAGUUUGUGUUUGUGGUGUGGAGUUUUAAGAUGGAUUUUCUCGAUAAAUGUGAAAAGUAGACAAAGAUGGAAAGAUGAAGUUACUCAAUAAAUGUGCGUUUACCAUUGAAGUUGAGUUGAUUAACACAAACUUAAGAAGUUGGUCAUCCAAACGGUCCCUUAAGUGUUUUAUGAUUUGGUAUGCAGUUCCCAUUAGCGUAACUUUGCAAGAAUGUAGUUGAAUCCUUACAAAUUUUAAAAGCAUGUUUAUGUUGUAUGUCCUUGAAGGGACUCAACCAACAUCUUUGUCUCUUUCAAAAUUUUAGAUGAAUGGGUGGUUGAUGAUCAAUUGUUCUUAGCUUCUUUAUAAAUACCAUUAUCAACAACUAAUGAUUAGGUACUUUGAUUCAAUUAUUAGAGCACCCACUAGCUGAACUUAUGUUUGUGAAAUUAUGUAUGCUUCUUUUCAUUGAUAUGUUGAUCAAAAAGUCUUAAAUUGAUAGUAAUUUGUUGAAGUUUGCUAGGAGGUGAGAAGUUGUAGGGAAGGAGGGUAUGUUUGUAAAGAGGUAGACAAAAUGUGAGGGUAAGAAGAAUUUUCUGGAGAGUAGGAGAAAUAUAAAUGCAGGAUCUUUGAGUUUUCUAUCAAGUCUAUGUUCUUUCUUUUGACUAAGAACUGGUUAAUGGCAUUGUGUGGUCUCGUUAAGUAUUUAGUCGCACUCAUUGAUUCUCAGGUGGAGAUAAAAAACUUGAACUCAUUUUCAUCGGUGAGCAGAGCAAUUGAUUUUGAAAUUUCAAGACAAGUGCUUCUCCAUAGUCAAGGCCAAAGUGAUCAAAUUGUACAGGAAACCAGACUCUGGGAAGAAGGCGCCCAGGUUUUUCUUAGGUUUAUGUAUGCUAUCCAUUUAUCAUCAGGCAUAACUUAUGAUGGUUCUUUCUAUUCUUGUCCACUCAUGUGCUCACCUGUGUAUUAUUGAUUAGAAAACAAUUACAAUGAGGAAAAAGGAAGGACUUUCUGAUUAUCGAUAUUUUCCAGAGCCUGAUCUCCCAGAAGUCAUCCUAACAAAAGAAUAUGUUGAAAAUAUUCAUGAUUCUUUGCCCGAACUUCCAGAAAUGAAGCGUAGAAGAUAUGAGAGUAUGGGCCUGAGCAUGCAGGAUGUACUUUUCCUGGCAAAUGACAUCAGUGUGAGUUACUAGAGAAUUUCUACACACUAAAUAAGUUGGUUUUGGGUAUUGCAAUGUAACUAUGUUGUAAAAGGGAAUUGAAGGUAAGGAUAAAUAUAAAGUUUUUACAACACCAACCAUUUUAUUAAAACUUGUUACAUCUUGUAGAAAUAAGGCAGGAGCAGAACAAUACCUAACAUAAGUAAAGAUCUCUGGCUUCAAAAGGAAUCUCCUGAAAAGGGAGCAAACUUCCGCAGCAAAUAGAGACAAAUAAAAGCUUUUUAGUUUAAUUAGAAGGAAUGCCCCUACAAUUUAUCUUUUCUAUUCGUGGUACUUUUGUGUUCUUAAGUUCUAAAAAAUCAUAAAGAAAACAAGCUAAAGUUCAAAGCACAAUUUUUCUAAGCUAUGUGACAUUGUAGGUGGCUGAGUUUUUUGAUGCAACUAUUGCAAGAGGGGCCGAAGUGAAGCUGGCUGCUAAUUGGAUAAUGGGUGAUAUUGCUGCGUACAUGAAAAAUGAGAAGUUGACUAUAAACGACAUAAAGCUCACUCCUCAAGAGCUUGCUGAAUUGAUCGCUUCAAUAAAAGGUGGUACUAUUAGUGGAAAGAUUGGGAAAGAGGCAAGUUUUUCUUCUUGCAUACGAGAUUCUUCAAAAUGUUUUUCAUAGUGUUACUGGCAUUCUAAAUUUGAUGAUUGAUUCUAAUCUAAAUGUUAACAUCUUUUCCUUCUAAUUAGAUGACAGAUUUUCAUCUGCUGUCUUAUUGAUGCAUUUUCUUUUCAUAUGCUGUAUAGAUUCUUUUUGAGUUGCUAGCUAAAGGUGGAACUGUGAAGGGGCUGAUUAAAGAUAAGGAUUUGGUUCAGGCAAGUUGUUUAUUAUCAAAAGUUGAUUGUCAAUUGUUUUCCCUUGACUCAAAUUAUCUUUCAUAUUAAAUGUUGAGUGGCUGAAUUGAUUGCUUAUUGAGUGGCUAAAUUGAUUGCUUUCUGGACUUAACUGUGUCUGGCUAGAGAAAUAGUUUAAACACUUCCACUCAAGAAUAAUUUGUAUUGUGUAGUAUUGCUUAAUGGACUAUUUCAGCUCAGUUUACCUCAAAUAAUAUACUUCCAUAGAACUUCAGCAAGGGUUAUUAUAUGUAUAGUUCAAUGAACAAGAACCCCAAAGAAUUUUACUCUGAUGCAAGUUGGAGCGUUUUUACUGGCAGAUCUAUUCAUUCUAGAUAUUGUAGUGGAGUUGGGGGAAGCUAGAAUAGCUUAGACUAAUUGUUAAAAGGAAUGAAGCCAAUGGAUAGCUGUUUUAUAUUUUACUUAAUAAUGACAAUAGGACACAAAUAACUGACUGCAAAGAUCUUCGAUUCUGGCUGUUUUGUAAUGGCAGAUUGCAGAUCCUGCUGAGAUAGAAAAAAUGGUGGAAAAAGUAUUGGCAGAGAAUCCGAAGCAGCUUGAGCAAUAUCGUGGGGGCAAAACCAAGUUGCAAGGCUUUUUUGCAGGCCAGGUGAAGUCUAAGUCUAGUCAAUAUCACCAUCGCAAAUCCACCCUUGCCGAUUCUCGUUUUUCCUGUCAUGUUUGUCAAAACAAUAAUCUAUUUUUGCAGGUAAUGAAAGCAUCCAAAGGUAAAGCAAAUCCAGGGCUUCUAAACAAGAUCCUCUUGGAGAAAUUGAAUGCGCAAAGCUGAUGAUUUUGUUCAAUGGGUACGUAUAAUUUGUUGAGAUUUGGGUUGCUUGAGACAAUGGUGACUAAAAUAUUGGAGCAGAUUUCAGUCAUGGUCUCCCCUUCAAGCUCCCCUGCACAAAAAUGAUGAGGAAUAGGUAGAGCUGCAGAAUUUCUUUAAAGUAUUAUGAUUUUUUGCUGAAAUCGUUGUAUUGCCAUUAUUUGGUGACACUUUCACCCUCUAUUUUCACUCUCAUCUACUUGGCUAAGGUAAGUUAGAGCAGGUAAAAGUAUAGUUGUAGGAGAAAAUAUAUUUUUUAUCCUUACUAUGGAAUUGGUUUCUAAUAAGUGCCUAUCGUUUGUACAAUGUGCUGAAAUGAUCUCUUCAGUCACAUGAGAGAUUGAUAUCGUUAACAUGGUCUUUCUCUCUUUAUCAAUCUUUUAAUGAAUACCAAUAUUAUUUUGUAAAAAAAACAUUUCACAUGUUAUUUUGUAUCGAAUUUUUAAUCCAAAACUUUCACUUGGUAUAAAAACCAACCUUAAAUAGCGUUGCAAUUUCAACUUUUUAAGGGAGAGUUUAGGACAAGUAGCAGAGUUGUUUUUCUUUUCUUUUGAAUAUUUCACACCUUCAACCUCUAAAAAGAAAGAGCUUAGCAAUGGAGUUAAAAUAUUGAAGUUUGUGAUAAGUAGAUGGUGAUCACGAUAGAUUAGGGUCAAGUUUUGAAAGUUUUAAAUCGAGAAUAUUCAAAAAGUGUUUUAAAGUGUCAAACCAAUCUGACCAAUGAUCCUUACUCAUCAAUAUCAAGGUUGGUUUGAACAUUUACAAAACCAACUGUGAUCGAUUCGAAGUCGGUUUUAACUCCAACCGACCAAUAACCACCCCUAGUGAUAAAUGUAUGGUUAACACAUUAUCCUUUCUCAUCCAUCAUAGUCUUCAUCUUCACCACUUUCCUCCUCCAUUUUCAUAAGAAAUAUUGAGGAUCUUUACAUGAUUUUCCUCCAUUUUUUUUUAUAGAGGUUUGGUGUAUGUCAACAUCUCCUUCACACAGAAGUAAAUAAAAGUUGUGUACAUUUUUUUAAUAACUUUCUUUAGAUUGUUAUUUUAAUAAUUUGCAAUUAAGUAGAUAGUAUUUUUCUUUGAUGUUUUGCUUAGAGAACAGCAUAAACAGUUUAAGAACUUUGAUAUUUUAAUCAAAUAUGAAAAUAAAAUUUAAUACUCCAAUUGUAGGUUAUUGAUUGAUAAAGUAGAGUGAACUUUAUUUUCUAUAUAAAAAAGAUUAUUUAAUUAAUGUCUCUCCAUUAUGGACUUGGUUGCAAUUUUUGUGACCCUAUAAAUUUCAUUGGAAAAGUUUCCAACAUUUUGGAUCCAAUUUCCAAUGACAUUAUUUUUUGUCACAUUUAAAGUGGCCAUUCAUAAUCUUUUAUUUUGAUUAAAUGAUUAAUUUACAUAUAUAUACAUGGAACCUAACAAUAAAUAAAUAAAUAAUUUUCGGACCGUGUAACAAAACAAUGAAACUCAAAAACCACGAUUAUUUUUACAUAAAUUCCAGAUUUGUCCAUGUUGGUUUUGAAUAUUGUGGGACGAUUCUUUACUUCUAUUUAUUUCUCUUAUUUGUGAUUUUAUUCAUUUUCUCUCCAUAUUAUUAAUUUUUUUCACAUUAUUACUUCUCCUUAUUCCAAUUUCAUCUUGAUGGUGAUUUCUUCAUUUUCUCUUCAAAAAUUUCUUCCUUCUUCAUCAUUCUAUCCUUUUUUUUAUACUACAUAAUCAUGUAUCAAAAUCUGAACGAUUAGCCGUCUAUCCCGGAUAAAUAGAGAUAGAUUACUAUCUAACUAAGAUAUCGAGACUUGAUUUAAACGAUCAUGUACCAAUAUCUAAACAAUCUUGGUACACAAUCGUUUAGAUUUGAUACAAAAUCAUUUUACCAAGAUUUGAACGAUAUGUAUCAAGCUUUUCACGCGCUUGUGUGACCCGUUAAUCACAAAAUAUUUUUGUUAUUUCACGUUGUGAGCUUUUAAGCUUUUUUCGUUUUUAAAAUUAUUGUGUAAAUAUUUUGAUGUUUUGUCAUAUUUUUUUUUAAAAAAACCUCGGAUCUUUUUAAAGCCUUUUGAAAAAAAAAUGUAGGCUAUCAAUAGAAUUUAAAAUAUUUUCGACGACAAUGGCAACAUUUAGAAACUACUUUCUUGAAUUUUCUAUAUAAAAAAAAAAAAGGAAAAUUUGGAUUAUUCUAAACCAAUAAUGAUUAAAUUUUUCUGGUAAAAUCUCUUUUGAAAAGAUUGGUGGAAUGAUAGAUGAACAUGUAUAAGAGGAAUCAAUUACAUAAAGUGUUUUUUUCUUAUGAUACACGAUAGCAUACUAUUGAAAAAAUACGUCAUGGUUGUCCCAAGAGAAGAGUUCAUGAGAGAGUAAUGCUUGAAAGUAUGUAUCCAAUUGACUGAUAAAACAGAGGAGCAAGCACACUAGGCCCCGUUUCUCUUAUAAGGCAGUGAACCCCUUGGGGUUAGUCCUGAAUCGAUAGUAGUUGUAUGAAUGAAAAUCAUUUUUUUCCUAUUGCAAGAGUGCCUGCUACGACGCUUGCUUAGAUGAGAGUGGAGUUCCUUCACCUCCAACAGCUCCCUCUUGUAACUCGAGCUGCUUCUAACCUCUUAACUAAUGAUCAGAGCUGCUAAGAAGAGAAUGAAAGAGAAAGAAACGAUCAUGAAAGAUUUUGCUCGGUUUUUCAGACUCUUUAAAGUAAAGACGGUUAAGCAUAUUAUCUUUAUUGUUUUUUAAGUUUGGUUAAAUUUCAAAAUCUUAAAGUUUUUCCUGUGUGCAAUUAUUCACUUUUGUUCAAUUGAUGAUGAGGUAAUUACAAACAUAAAUAAUUACAUAUCAAUGAGAAAAACCAACCAAAAAAUAACUUGAAAGCCACAAACUUCUCAUUUUUCUAGCAAAUUGCAACAAACUCAACUCCAUUGAUAUCAAAUCAAAGUGUUUUCCCUUUAUGUACAGUAUGAGAAAGCAUCCACCCAAAGUAUACACUUUUGUAUGGUAACCACUCUAUAAUAAGAGAUUUUAAGGGCUAAAAUCAUAUGGCCUAUAAAACCCAAAAGUAAAAAAGAAAGAAAAAAACUAAGGCCAGCAAGAACAGAACCAGCUGCUUUGAAACACUUCAAAAUCCCAAAAGACCAAAAAAAAAAAAGCCAACAAAAAAGCAAAAAAGUAGAUGUAAAUGUAAAUCUUUCAACAGCAACCCAUUUCUCAUUGUCUUCUCUACUUCUGUUCUGUAGUCAAACUGUGCAUUGUAUUUCAGGUUUGGGUAGAUCUAGGAUGUACUCAAGACAGACAGUAGCGUUUUUCAGAUAGGUUUGCUCCUUUGUUUCAUUUUGUUGUCUUGAGAUCUUGGUGCUGCAAUGAAGCUAGCUAAGUUAAGGAAAUAUGUGAACUGAGGAGAAAAUAGGAAGCUGAGUACAAGAAGAACAUCAACUACCUAGUCCGUUGGCUUCAGAUGUCCUCAUGAUACGAAGUCUUCGAACAGAGUUUACGAACAUCCUAAUCCAUGAAAAACAUGAACUUAAUGUAAGAAAUGACAUAUAAGAGCACAGGUUAAUUAAAAGUACGGUUCAAAUGAUUAGCUUCAACCCAUCCGUCGAUCUCCCUUCGGUUGAUGGAAUUGGAGAUGAUCUAAACCUUUUUUUUUUAUUAAUUUGAAGACAUAGCAAGACUUAAGAAAUGAGAGCCAAUAGUGCAUUGAUCUAGUCAAACAAGAUCAGAUAUGUAUAUAGAUCCUCUCAAAUCUCAAACACUUUUGUAACUCGUCUUUGCAUCUCAUGAAUCACAAUGGAAUUUAAUAUGCCAAGUGGCCCAAAUAUUUUUCAUCAAACUAGUUUAGCUUUUGCUUCUUUAUUAAAAAAGUUUGCAAGAUUUUAGAACUGAGAGUCGAGAUUCGACACCAAGCAUAAUCAGACAACUAGAUGCGGAAUCUAUCUUCUUUUGUCCACAAAAUUCAAUCAUCUAUAUCUGGUCUUCUAUAAUACUAAAGCAUAGAGAUUAGAUCUAAACUAACAAGUAAAGCAACAUACCCCCAAGGGACAUCCCCAACCAACAUCCAAUCUCCCUCUCUAUCUUCAUAUGUGAGUACAAACUCAGAGGAUCCAUCCAAAAGCUUAGACUGCUUCUUUGCUUGUUCUUUGUCUCCACUUUUCCCUGAGAAACACCACAACAACAAAAGUAAAUCAAAAGGGAAAAAAUGAAGAUUUUUUGUCCCACGUUUGUUAAUGAACUGUUGAGGCUGAAUUUCCAAACUAAGAAUAAAACUAACCAUUGGUAAUGGAGGCUCCAGCAGACCUGAAAAACAUGUCCUCCAGCAUCAGGGCCAAGGUUUCAUAGCAAGAAUGGGCAUUGAGAUCCACUUUCCUCCCUAUCACAACCCCAUCCACAUUCACUUUGACAAAUCCCAAGUGCCCUUUUCCAUCAACAUCGCAUGUUUUGUUCUUCAAAGUGUCCUUGGACUGAUCUUUCUUCUCCUCACAGCCAGCAUCCUCUUCCUCAGCUCUGGCUGUCUUAGCUUGGUUGACCAAGCUAUUCAUCCUAUAUGUUCUAAUAGGUGGCCACCCCACAACCUGACUGCUUCACAUAUUUACAACAAAGUCAUCAGAAAACUCCAAUAAAUGAAAAAACACAUAACAAAUCCAUUCUGAAGUUUUACAAGAAAAUGCAAAAUAACGUAUAACUAUAUAUAUAAAAAAAAGACAAACAUAAGGGGGUAAUCAGAACUAACUUAAGAGCAGUUGGAGAUCCUCCUUCAUUAGGAGCAGAGUCAGCAGCUCGUUUAGUCCCAGAAACAGAAACAGAGCAAGUAACCUCUCUUCCAUGAAAACGAGAAGAGGAGGAAGAAGAAGAAGAAGUAGAAGAAGAGCCACAAUGAACAGGGAAAUCCUGAGCAGUCAAAAUCCGACCACGCUCACCCCAAGUAACACCGGUAACCUUGCCACCACCGCCGCCAAGGGCUAAACCAAGGCCCAAUUCGAGGUCAGAGGAGGCAGGAGAGGGAGAUGAGAGGAUUGGAAUGUUACCCACAAAAUCUUUCUGAAGAAUGUCCAUUGUGGAGGCAUUAGAGUCGGUAAUGGCGGACCCAGAAACAGACCCACCCAGGGGAGAAGGGCGGAAAAGGCCCAAAGUAGAUUCCAUGGAGGAAAAUGGGGAUUAGAAAAGAAGGGAAGGUUUAGAGAAUGGGAAAUGGGAGUGGAAGAGAAGGGGAUUAAGAGGGUAUUGAAGAAGUAAGGGAAGUGUUUACGCCAUGGAUUGAAGCAGAGAGAGAGAGAGAGAAGAGAAAUGGGGUCAGGAUGUCUGGUGGUGCGCAUACCACUCAUACCAGUAAUCCAUGCUUCCUCUUUUUUCCCGACAACAAUCAUAUUCCUCUAAUCUAAUAAACAAACAUAUUAAUUGAUUUAUGCAAAAAAUAAUUAAACUUUUUGUUUAUAUUAUAAUCAUUUUAAUUUCAGUUUUUUUUCUUCUACUUUCAUUUUGUAAUGUGUAAAUUAAUAAUGCUGAUAUCUAUUCUUCUCAAACAUAAAUAAAUUAUCUGAUAUAAUUAUAUUUUAUUUCAAUAUAUAGUUAUAUAAAUAUUGCCUAAAUUUUCCUAUUUUUUACAUUAACAUUAUUUUAAUGAACUAUUAAUUUAUGCAGACUUCUACCAAAUUUACUUUUUCAUAUAUAUAUAUGCAUACAGCAUACAUAUAUAUCAAAAGAAUUUCUCACGGUUGUGAACUUUUAAAAAAACUCUCUUUAAAACUUACACAAGUAAGAAAAGUUUGUAAAGAAAUGUUGAUAAACGAAAGCAGGAAUAAGGAAGAAGUUUCAAAGCAAAAAGAAGGACAUAUAUUUGAUAUAUAAAACAUAUUAUCAAACAUAUAUUUGAAUUUUCCAAAAAUAAAUAUAUUUGUUAGUGCAUGAACCAGACAAUUUAUUUAUAUAUUGUUAUAUAUAUAUACUAAUAUUUACAUUUCCAAUAUAUAUUUGUAAACAUGCCAAAAAAUUAAAUCAUGGUAUGAUCUAUAUUUUGUUGUCAUUAUAUAAUUGUUAGUAUAUCUUCAACAUAUGCUCUGGAUCUCAAUGGAAAAGUGGUUGGUUUGAGGGAGGAAUAUGAAAAAUAAAAAUGAAAUCUCUUACAAAUGUAUUAAAAUAUUAAUUUAAAAUCACAUGCAAAAGGGAUAUUUUUAAAAUUAAUAAAAUAAAUUAAAAUAUUUACAAAAUAUAUCAAAAGUUUGGAUUCUAUUACGACUACUAGGAGGAAAAAUAUCAAUAUCUACUAUUGAUAUAAUCUAAAAUUUUUGCUAUAUACUGUAAAUAUUUUGCCAAAUACUUAAAUAUUUUUAAAAAUUUUAAAUAAAGUUAAAAAUGGUAAACUAGGGUGUAAAAACGUAAUUUCAUGUAAAAAUCUCAGCGAACUCUAACCUUGUUUCCUUGUUUAAGGGACAUAAUAGGUCUGAAGAGAUAAAUCUUAGGAAUCUAUGGAGAGACAUAUACAUGCAAAUACCUAACAAAAGUGAUUUCUCCCAUAUAUAUGAAGCUUAGAUGGAUUGUUCUACCCAAGAUUGUCACAGCUAAAGAACGAUCAAGAUAUAGUAUUUUUUUUAAACAUCAUAUCUCAGAUAAAGAACUAGGGUCUAUUAAUAGGCACCACACCUAUUUAGCCACUAUGCUUGACUAAAAAGUUUUCAAACUCCUUAAACCCAACCAACCUAAAAAUUAUCUUAAUAAUACCCGUUAAAUUUUAGAGUUAGUAUGAGAUGAUCUUCCACCAGAAUUUUGCCACACACACCUUCAAAUAUCCUUACAUAAUCAUUAAGAUGCCCCUCUUGCACGGUAGUUUUACAAAACAAUAGACUACCACCUGCAAGUACGUAUGAGAGUAUAUAUAUAAGUUAUUGGACAUUGCUUUCUUGAUUGCACCGGAGAAACCUCCCCUUGACAGGAGCCUUCAACGCAAAACAAAAAUAGAUAUGGAGAAAAAUAAUCCCUUUAGCUCAAACCAGACUUUAGUUGCAACAUUUUCCUCGGUUGUUCAUUACAAAAUUAGUUGUCACCGAUGAAUCAUGAUACACGGUCGAUGAUUAAGCUCGCCCACUUUUUGUCAUACCCCUACCUCAUGCAUAAUGCCUCUAAAAAAGGAUCAUGCAACCCUAUCAUAUAUUUUAUGCUCAUAUCCAACUUUAGUAUUGUAGUACUCUCCCUCCCUACCUAUGAGCCAUAAUAUGAUGAAUACACUCAUAUCCUACCAAAAUAUUAUUCGAAAUCAAUCUAUCAGGAACAAAUUAAAAAUACUUGAACUUUAUCUAUUGACAAAAGACUUGGUGAUGACUUUGUAAGACACGUUGCAUAGACUAAUUGACUUAUAAUCGAAUACUUCCAUUAGAUGUGUGAGCUUUGGUAUAAAAACAAUAAUAUAUAUGUGUGAGUGACUGAUUAAACUAAUGCAUCAAUGCCCCUUGACCAAGGCACGAGAAGGCAAGCUAUGUUCCAACAUUUUGCCCUUCAAAAUGUUAUAAUUUUGUUGAUAAAAACAACAUAUAGGAAAGUCAUCCAACCAUCUGCCAUUGAUUGGAAACAUUUGGAGUAAUAUCUCCUUAACAAAACUAUUCAUUUCCUCAUUUCAAUCACUUUCUCUAUACACCUUUCUUUCCGAUACAUUUCUCCAAAUUUCAAACUCUUAUCCACACUCUUUUUAGUUCUUUUAAAAAUAUUUUCCGAGUACAACUUAGUGCUCGUGAUAUUUAUUGAAUGACAAUUAAUAUUUUAAAAGUUUAAAAAGACUAAAAUUAAUUUCUAUUUUUUAAAAAAAUGUCAAAAGUAAAAUAAACACUUAAAAUUGAGUUACGACCAAACAUAAACACCAAAAUAAGAUUAAUGUUUUUUAUAUAUAUAUGAAUUCAAUUGUACCGUCCAAAGAUAGAUCGAGGUUAACCAGUGCUAAAAGAAAAACAUUUAAUUUAGAAAAAAAAAAACAAUGUUGUAAUGCAAAUUCUUGAAACAAGAAGGGCUCAAAUUUUGGAAAAAGUGGAACAUGGUAAUAAAAUUAUCGUCCUUUGAUGUAAUAAUUAAGUUUUGUGUAUUAUUAGGUGUAAUUGGAAUUAAUUUGUCUUCUUUGUUAUGGGUUCUUGGACUUAAUUAGUAUGAUGGUAAAUCAUUUCAUUUAUAACCUUUUUCAUAACCUAUAAUAAUCUCCAUAAUCUAAUUAUAUCUCUUUAAUUAAACGAUAAAACAAAACUCUUUUCUUUUCAUUUCUUCUUUUAAAUUAAUAUUAUUUUAAACAUGAUCAUUCAUCACAUCAUUAUAGAUAUAUGAAUACUACAAAACAUCGUAAGAUAUUAAAUUCGAAUGAAAACUUCACAUUGUCUCUAUCUAUUUUACUCUUUAGGAGAAAAUAAAUUAUAUAUAUUUGGUGAUUUUUUUUUAAAAAAAAAAAAGAGAACUAUUUUUUAUACUUUUAUUUAUCUUUAAUUUUGAAAAAGAAAAAUUAUAUUAUAUUUCACUCAAAUUUUAAGAUGCUUGUCUUCAAAAUUUAUUGCAAAUUUUGAGACACUUUCAUUAGGUAGUUUUUUAUGAAAAAAUAUAUGUUUAUUUAUUAAUAAUUUUUUUAAAAGUACAUUACCAAACCAGGAAUUUUAAAAAAAUAUUUUAAUAUUAAAACUACUCAUAAAAUAUAUCAAAUCCAUUAAACUUUUUAUUUUUACUAUAUUUUAUAAAUUGAGAAGAAAAAAUUGACUUCUUUUAAAAUUUAAUUGAAAUUUCAAAAUUAAUUUUAAAAAAAUUAAAGAAAAAAAUGGAAUAUAAACUAACUUCAUUUAUGAAUAAAAGAAACCAUAAUAUAACUAAAAUCUUAAUUGUUAACAAAUCUAUUGAAAAUAUUUAUAAGCGGAGCAAAAUUUACUUAAUGGACCUAAAUAAGCAUUUAUUCGUACCUACUAUAGAUUUCUAUUUGAGUAUAUCACAAAUAGAAACUAAAUAUUAUGUUGUAUAUAUUUAUAAAUAAGUUAGAUCGUUCUACUAUAUUUGAAAAUAUCUCUAACUUUAAUACAAAUAGUUAUAGAAUGCAACAUCCACGUAAUAUAAAUUAUAAAGAUAUGUGUAUACUUUUACAGACACACAUCCAUAUUCUAAUUAAUUAAUGUUAAUCUUAGUAAUAAUCUAGCAUUAUUACAAAGGCUUUUAAAAAAAAGGUAUUGGUCCUUAAUUAAUAUACAUAAUAAUUAAAAAGAUGUAAUCUUUUUAAGAGUAGAAAGCAUAUUUUAAUUCUUCAUACUUUAUUCAUAUUUGCUUUAUACCUUUAUGCUGCCUACUAUUUUCAAGACAAAAGUGUUCAAAACCCAUAUUUUAAUAAUUAUAAUCAAUAUUAAAGUUUUAUUAUAUUAAUUAAUACUCUUUUACUUUUACAAGAAAAUAAAAGAAAAAAAAAUUACAAAACAAUUUCCUACUUUUCGUUUUCAAAACUAUUUUUUAAUCGGACAGCUGUUGUUUAUGGUAAAUUAGAAUCGUUAAUUAAUUAAAAUAUUGUCAUUUAAUAAAGAAAAGAAUUAUCCAUAAAGUUAAUCAAAAUGUUAUAUUAAGCUAUUAAUAAUGUUUACUCUUACUUUUUACCCCCACCCCACCAUGACAUGUCAAAUAAGUUACCACUAAAGUAAAUAAUUAGAAAAUAUAUAUAUUUAAAAUAACGAACAUAUUUCAAACUAUAUGAUGUUUGUACUAAUAACAGUAAUAACAAAUGAAUGCGAUGUUGGUACCAUUAACCUCGAAUGUAAAAGUUUGAUUCUCUUACUUCAAAUACUAAUUUGAUACCUUUAAAAAAAUGAUGGAAAAAAAUGUAACUCGACAACUAAUACUCUAUAAGGCGUUUGAGACAAAAGAUUAUUUAAGACUAUAAUAAUCAUUUCUUGCUACAUGCAUGCAGUAAAUAUAUGUACUUUCUAAUUAGCUACUGUUAACUUUAUUUUUAAAAAUCUCGUAUUUGAUACGGUUGUUACUAUUUCACAUUCGUUAUCUUUUAUCGGUUCAGUGAUUACUAUUUUUUAUCAAACUAAAAUAAUUUAUAUCUCAAAGACACAAAAACAAACUAUUAUAGCAAUUAACUAUAAUAAUCUAACACACAUCUUGUUCCAUGUUCUUCCUUAGUAAAUUUUUGAAAACAAAUGAGCACAAGAUAGUUUAAGUUUAUAGAAGAAAUUAUGUUUGUGUUAAAGUUGUAAACAUAUAAAUUAUUGUUUGAAGAAUUGAUUAAGUGUGUUUGAUUGAGAUUGUAAAGUGUUUAAUUUUGCCAAAAAAAAUUGUAGUGUUUGACACGUUAUUUCAACACACAAACACAAACUACGUUUUUCUCUUUCAUUUCUCACUUUUACUAAAAAAAACUUUUUUUUCUCCUUUCUUUUUCAUUUUCUUUCUAACAAAUUAUUAAAUAUUAAUAUAUAAUUUUUUUAUAACAAAAUACUAAAAUAUUUACGGUACAUUGAUAAAAUCAAAAAAACUAUAAAAGAUAUUUAAGAAUUUAUUUGACAAAAAUUAAGAAUUUAAAAGAAUACACCAAACAUUUUAUAAAAUUUAGAUAGUAAUAAAAAAACAUCUUUAAAAAUGAUAGACUAAACUUUGUAUAGUUAGGAUAAGUUUUAUGUGUCAAAAAAAAAAAAACUAUUUAUGAAAUGUAACAUUAGAAUGAAGAGAGUUGGAUGAAUUUGGUGAUAUUAUAUUUAUUGUUUUUGAAAAUAUAGGUUUUAGUUAAACUAAAAGUAAGUUGGGAAGGUAUACAAAUAUGAAUUUUAGAAUUGAUAUUAUAUUUAUAAGAAGUAAUUAAUAAGUAGGUUUUAGUUUUAGAAAAAUGAUGAAAAUGGAAAAAUGAAGUAUCAAAUUUUGAGAUAAGAAUGAAAGUAAUUUGUAAUUAAAGAAUGGGUAGACCGACAAAGCAUGGAUGUGAGCAAAGUAAAGUUUGGAGUAUUUUUCACUUUCAUUAUUACAAAUAUUUUGAGAGACAAUAAUCAGACAACUUUAAUGUAAUGGAAAUCAAAGUAGAAAUUUACCUUUUUACCCUCUCUCUCUCUCUCUCUAUAUAUAUAUAUAUAUCCUACUCAUUAUCAACAUAAGCAUGCAAUGUUAAUUUCAACUUAAAAACAAAUAUUAUUACUUUUUUUUUACCUUUAUAUAUAUAUAUACUUCACAUAAUUUGUUCUAUACUUUUUUCAUUAAUUGAAACUCAAAAUAACUUAAUAAGUGAAUUAUAUCAAUUUUGAACUCAAAACUUAAUAUGUGGGGUUCUACAUUCUUAAUGAAAGAUUCCUCACUUUUUCUCCUUUUGUUUUUGCUAGAUUGUUCAUCAAUCUUUUUUCUUCUUUUUAAGUUUAAACUUAUUUUUAUACUCUAGGUUUAUUUGCUACGAUUUCUAAAAACAAAAAAAAAAAAAAAGACGAAG